AAUUAAGCGCCCCAAGAAGGUCAGUGCUUGGCGUUGGUCUCCAUUUACCUCCAAAGCGCUUCCGCAGACCAUCCUCUUCUCCACUCCAAAGUGUGUUCUCAUUUCUCAGCGUGUGCUCCUCUGACUGCUCUAAUGGCCGAGCUUGUGGGCAGCAUGGUGGUCGGGCCACUGCUGUCCCUGGUGAAGGAGAAGGCGUCCAGCUACCUCCUUGACCAGUACAAGGUCAUGGAGGGCAUGGAGGAGCAGCAUGAGAACCUCAAGGUCAUGCUGCCGGCCAUCCUGGAAAGGAUCACUGCCGCAGAGAAGCAGGCAACCUCCAGAGAAGCAAUCAGACCCUGGCUUCAGAAGCUUAAGGUGGCGGCAUACGAGGCCAUCCAAGUCUUCGAUGAAUUCAACUAUGAGGCCCUCCGUCGUCAAGCCAAGAAAGAGGGGCGCUACAUCAAGCUCGGGAUGGGCAACCGCAUCAUGUUCCGUCGCAGGAUGGGCAACAAGCUUUGCAAGAUUGUGCGCGAUAUUGAGGCCCUUGUGAAGCAGAUGCGCGACUUUCGGUUCGACAAACAGCCACAAGCGCAGGUUCAGAUAAAUUAUCUGCGUGAGAAUGACUCCACCAUGGUUGAUCCAGAGAUUGUCAGCAGAUCCAGAGAUGAAGAGAAGCAAAAGAUUGUUAGAAUGUUGGUCAAAGAACAAGCUAACAAUAAGGAUCCGAUGGUCGUUCCCAUUGUGGGGAUGGGUGGGUUGGGCAAGACCACCCUAGCUCAGCUCAUCUUUAAUGACCCUGAAGUGAAGAAGCAUUUCCACCAACUAAUGAAGUGGGUCUGCGUGUCAGAUGAUUUCGAUGUUUGUAACCUUGCCAACAAGAUCUGCAACGCUUCUGAGAGCAACCUGGAGAAUGCCUUGCAGAACCUUCAGAGAGAACUCGCUGGAAAGAGGUACUUUUAGAAUUUAAUUUGAUGUUGAUUCACUCAUCUCAAACACGCACACUGGUUUUUUUUCCCUCACACAUGCUCAAAAUAUGUGCAUUGCCCUUGAGAAUAACACGUAAUUGAAAAGAACAAGUAAAGCACAUGCAAACUACAUACACAAAAUUCAACUUCAAACUUAGAUCAAGAAGACAACAACGCCUCACCACUAGCAAAUUGCCCUCUUGGAUAUGCACGGAACUUGCACAUCUCACAUACCAUUUACGCUUCCUCUGGUGGCAUUCACAUAACUUAAGAAAAAGACGUACACAAAUAGAAACGUACACAAAUAGAAACGCACUAAUGGCAUGAUUAUUUGUAACAGGUACCUUCUUGUAUUGGACGACGUCUGGAAUAAGGAUGAUAACAAGUGGAACAAGCUGAAUGCCUGUCUUAAACAUGGUGAUGUUGGUAGCGCCAUACUAACGACAACACGUGAUAAAGAAAUAGCUCAACUCAUGAGUACAGGUGAAGAACAUGGCAUUGCACGUUUGGACAAUAAAUUCAUCAAGGAAAUUAUUGAGGCUAAAGCAUUCAUUUCGCAAGAGAGAAAACCAACUGAUUUAGCUGGCUUGGUUGAUGACGUUGUUGAGAGAUGUGCAGGGUCUCCAUUGGCAGCCAAGGCACUAGGAUCUGUACUACGUGGCAAGACAAGCACGGAAGAAUGGAAGGCUGUGAUUAGCAAAAGCAUCGCCCAUAACAAGGAUGAUCGAAUCCUGCCUAUUCUCAAGCUCAGUUACGAUGACCUGCCAUCACACAUGAAGCAGUGUUUUGCUUUCUGUGCUGUGUUUCCCAAGGACCAUGAGAUUGACGUGGAAAGGCUGAUCCAACUAUGGAUGGCAAAUGACUUUAUUCCCGAGCAAAAAGAUGUUCGUCAUGAAACAAUUGGUAAACAGAUUUUCAGUGAGCUGGUCUCAAGGUCAUUCUUUGAAGAUGUGAAGCAAGUCAAAGGGACAAGAUAUGGUUUCGUGUAUUGGUAUUUGUCUACAAGUACAUGUAAAAUCCAUGAUCUUAUGCACGAUGUGGCACUAUCUGUCAUGGGCAAAGAAGUUGCUACCAUAACUGAGAAGCCAAAGCAGAGUGAUGAGUUUCUUCAGAACACUUGUCGUCAUAUAUUGUUAUCAUGUGACGAGCCAGAGGCCGUUUUGAAUGAUUCUCUGAAUAUAAGGUCGCCAGCUAUACAAACACUACUACUUGGGGAAGAUUUCUUGCCGACAUAUAUUUUUUUGAAGGAUCCGCGCAUAAAAUCCCUGCAGCAUCUCGCAAAAUACAGCUCUCUGCGUGCAUUGAGACUUUGGCAGACUAAGAGCACAAUCCUACUGAAACCAAAGCAGCUACAUCUCUUGAGGUAUCUUGAUAUCUCGUUUAGUGAUAUAGUGGCACUUCCGGAAGAUAUCAGCAUUUUGUACAAUCUGCAAACGCUGAAUAUUUCUAACUGUUGGAAACUUGGUCGACUUCCAAAGGGAAUAAAGUACAUGACUGCCCUCCGUCACCUCUACACUCACGGAUGUGAGGAGUUGAAGCGCAUGCCACCAGAGGUUGGACAUCUCACUUCCCUGCAAACACUUACAGAUUUUGUAGUGGGUACAGGCCCUGAUUGCAGUAGUAUUGCAGAGCUGCAGCAUUUAAACAACCUUGGUGGUCCACUACUGCUUAGUCAACUCGAAAAUGUGACAAAAGCAGCAGAUGCAAAACAGGCCAGUCUUGGAAAUAAAAAGGAGAUCAGGGAAUUGUCAUUAAGCUGGACAGGUAGUGAGGAGGAGAAACAACAUUGUCAUAAGGUGCUGGAGGGUCUCGAAGCUCCUCCUGGACUAGAGGCUCUGAGGAUACAGCAUUACCAAGGAACCAGUUUCCCAACAUGGAUGGGUACGCUGCCAAAAAUGGUGGAGCUUCGUCUUUUUGACUGUAACAAGUCCAAUAAGCUUCCUCCACUUGGGAGUGUAGCAGCUCUACAAGUUCUUCAUUUGAAAAGAUUGAAAAAACUGGAAAGCUUGUGCAGUGGUGGUACAUUCUUUCACUUUCCUAAUCUGAAGGAGCUUACGCUGGAAGACCUGCCGGAAUUUGAUAGAUGGUGUGAAGUAAACUGGGUCCAAGGAGAACAGAUAAUGUUUCCUCAACUUGAGAAAUUGUUUAUUACAAAUUGUGGAAAGGUUACAGCAUUACCAGGGCCAGCACUUCUCGGAGGAUCGUGCUGUGGAGAUUCCAAGGAGCAAGACGAGAGGAAGCUUUGGUCGGCAUUUCCAGUCCUGAAGGUACUCAAAUUACAAUGCUUAGCAAAGUUUCAGAGGUGGGGGGGCGCUGCUGAAGCAACUCAAGGGCAGCAGAUAAUAUUUCCUCAGCUUGAAAAGUUAUCAAUCAAAAAGUGCCCCGAACUGGCAGCAUUACCAUCAGCUACAUCUCAGGGAGUAUCAUUUGACCAUAGUGAUGUUACAGCAUGGUCAGCAUUUCCAAACUUAAAGAAGCUCUUGUUAGAAGACUUAGAAAGUUUUAAGAGCUUGGGGAUGACGGAAGCAACUCAUGGUGAACAGCAGAGAUUCUCUGACCUUGAGACUCUGGGUGUUAAGAAAUGUCCGAAGUUGACAAUUCAACCGGGGGUGAUAGAAGCACCAAAGCUCGGUGUAUUAGAAAUAAAUGGCAGCCAACUGACAGCAAUAAUAGUGCCUACAGUUAUUAACUCAUUGUCCGAACUGGUGUUAUCAGUCGAAGACACAGAAACUACUUUACCAACUGUGCAUGGUGCCUUUGAGCUGGUGGACGCCAGUAAUAAAUACCCUCUGACACAUCUGGAGCUAAGCGGCUGCAACUUUCUGUUCCCCUCAAGUCCACUGGCACUAUGGGCAUGUUUUGUCCAGCUGCAAGAUUUGAAAAUUGAGAAGAUCAACCAUGCGCUUGUCUACUGGCCAGAAAAAGAGUUCCAGAGCUUGGUAUCCUUGCGGCACCUUACCAUUUGGAAGUGCAGUGGUCUGAUUGGGUACGUGAAAGCCGCUCCUAGCCAACCAAUAUCAGAAAGGAGCCAAGUUCUCCCCCGUCUCGAGUCUCUACGCAUACGGGAUUGUGAAAGUCUGGUAGAGGUCUUCAACGUCCCCGCAUCUCUCAAGACGAUGGAUUUGCACGACUGCCCUAAGCUUAAGUCCAUAUUCGGAGAGCUACAGGACGAGCCAACAUUCAAUCAAGGGCCCAGCGCUGCACCGAAGCUGUCAUCAUCGGCCUGGGAUCACUUACUUCCAUGUCUUGAAUCUCUAAAUAUACGGCAGUGCGAAAGCUUGUCAGAGGUUCUCAACCUUCCCCCAUCCCUCAGGGAAAUAGAUAUUUGGGAAUGCCCAGAGUUGAGAUCAGUCGAAUGUUGCUUGGGAGAGUUUGCAACCCUGGAACGCCUCGUUCUUAGUGAAUGCAAAAGCCUGGCAUCCUUGCCCGAUGGGCCACAAGCAUACUCAUCUCUCCGUCAUCUUCAAAUUACAUCAUGUCCAGGUAUACAAUCGCUUCCUUCAUCCCUGAAGAAGAGACUGGACAACCUCAUUGAUAAAUAUUUGGAUGCUCGUUACGAAGGUACCCAUCAAACUCAUUUGUCGUUUCACCAUCAAAUGCAUAAAUCUGCUCAUGUGUAUUUUCCUCUUCAACCUGAGACCCCGCAUUCUAUAAAUAUAUAUAUACCAGUCGCCUUAAAGCAUCCAUGCAGUAGUUUGGAUGAUAUGGUGUGAUUAUUUUUACAUUAGAGAAAGGUAUUUGCGUCUAUAGACUAUAGCUAGGUGUGAACUGUGCCCAGAAAUUAUUGACAAGGAAUAGUGGAAAGAACUCAGCAAUCACUAAAAAAACAUGAAGAGUGUCCCACAAAGUUACUUUUUCAUGCAGUUGUCAUGGUGGCUUGCUGGUUUCAGCACUUGCACAAUACGAAAUUUAAAAAAUCCAAGUGAUCCCUCCACACUUGGACAAUUAAGAACACGACUAUAGAUUGUUUUCAAUUUGCAUUGAACUGAUAUUUUUCUAUUUCCCUAAUGUUACACAUCAAAUAGAGAUGCCAAGUUGCCAAUGCAACGAAGGUUUUUACUUGUCAAUUUAAUUGAAUUUUGCUGUCUAAAGGACAAAAUGUGGAUUAAAUAAAGAGCUCUUUUACGGUGCACAAUACUACCACGUGGUAGUAUAGAUUAUAAGUACUUUUUUAGCAUGGGCAAAAUUGUAAUUAGCACGCAUAUAUUAUUUGGAGAUUUUUUUCCGCGAGCCCUUCUCCCCACGCGCCGCCAGUCCCCCACGUCCGCGCCUGGGCGCACCCGCGCCCCCGGAACCCUCGGCGGCCGAUGCUGACACUGACGACUUCCUGCCGGCUGAGGCUGCGCGUGGCGGUGACGUGCUGUUUGAGCUUCACUCCCACUCAAACCACAGUGACGGCUUCCUCUCCCCCACCGCGCUCGUCGAGCGCGCCCACCGCAAUGGGGUAAGUGGAUGAAUCCUAAAUGGCCUCUAGUCCGUUUGCCUGCUAGGUGUUUGAGGAAAUGCUUGUGACGUUUGUUCGGCGGCGUUGUACUGUGCUUUGUGGAAUUCGACUUCGAUGGCCUCAUCGUCUUUAGCUGUGGUGCUUAACCGAGCAUUGCGUUUGUUGUACCUGCCAGUGUGCCGUGUGCGUAGCUGUUCCCCGUCUUAUAGGACUGUUCCCCGUCUUAGUAUCUGGAUGAAAGUGCUGUACUGGUGACUACAGUAUCUAACAGGGAAGCAGUUUCCUUGGAUGUUUCAACUCCCCUCUGAUGAUCGGUUUGUUUAAAUUUGAAUGAAGCUGUCAUCUUCUGGCACGCAUUGGUUAGUUCAGACGGUGUAUUGCUUAGCUAAUUGCUGCUGAAAAAAAUGAUUGAGAUGCACUAGUGCCUGUUUCCCCUUGAAAUGUUUUAUGGAUUAUAUACCAUAACCUACCUCCUAAAGUUUCGGUAUGGUUGUGUGCUGUUUAAAAGUUAUAUAUUGAUGGGCACAUAUUACAAAUCUUGGAGUGUCUAAACUAUAUAUGUUUGUGGCGUAGGUGAAAGUUCUUUCCCUAACAGAUCACGACACUAUGGCUGGCAUACCAGAAGCUGUUUCAGCAGCUUCCAAGUUCGGCAUUAGAAUAAUUCCUGGAGUUGAAAUCAGUGCGCUGUAUAAUCCAAGGUAAGUGCCCUUUAGCUUUUAGAGAAGAGAGCUUUCUGUGUUUUGAAUAAAAAUCAUCAAUUGCAUGCAGCUUAAUGAAUCAAGCAUCCUAUUGUUGCGGACUCUCAUAAAUAGAUCUGCAAUAUUGUUUUAAUGCUCCAUUGCCUGUCUAAUAAAAUGAUACUGUAAACAACAUUUAAGCAGUUGUAUUAUGACUAGGGAUAUUUCAUAUGAUGAUUCAUUAUAUUAUGAAUUUCAUUUUCUAUAAGGGAAGGUGCCGGUGCUGGUGAGCCUGUUCAUAUCCUUGCAUACUAUGGUACAUGCGGUCCAUCAAGAUAUGAUGAGUUGUACAGCAUGCUAUUGAACAUCAGAGAUGGGAGAUACUUACGUGCAAAGAAUAUGCUGGCAAAGCUAAAUAGACUCAAGGUGACGAUAAAGUGGGAGCAUAUAACUAAAAUUGCUGGUGAGGGAGUGGCAACUGGUCGAUUGCAUGUAGCAAGAUCUUUGUGUUAAUAAUAGGGCCUGUGUUUUUUGCAGAGGAAGUGAACCAUUUGCUGAGACUGUUGUGCAGUCAAUUAGUCGUACUGGGGGUAUAUCUGCACUCGCUCAUCCUUGGACCUUGGUCAUUGAAGAACCCUGAUGCAGUAAUCAGGUCUUUAGGUGCUGGCCUUAAUGGUAUGGAGGUCUACAGAAGUGAUGGAAAGGUUGAUGGUAUGUGUGCUACACACUUACACUUUAUGCACUAUGACUUGAAAUAGAACAGAGGACUCCGGUAGUCCUGUCAUGCGCUAAAAUCUUCCCAGAAGAGUGCGGUGUUCCCAUCGCCCAACUGUACCCGGAUGGAAAUUUGGAAGAUUUUACGAAGGGUAUGGUCGUUGUCCACCGUAUUGGCUAGGUGCUUCCAUGGUCGUUGUUCGUCAGUCCUCUUGAACCACAACCAGCGCAAUCGGAGGGCCAGCGAUGCAAUUUUGAGGUUCUGAAUUCCUAGACCACCAAAGAGUUUAGGGCGGCAUGCAAGUGGCCAGGCCACUGCACAUUGCCCUCCAUUGGCUGCCUGCUUACCUGCCCACAGAAAACCCUUUCUAAGUUUGUCGAUUUCAUGAAAUACCCAGGCCGGUAUAUCAAGGGAGAUUAGGUUGUAGGUGCAGGUCGCGGUCAGAACUGAUUGAACCACUGUUAGUCUCCCCGCCUUGUUCAUGAGUUGAGCUUUCCAACUCGGGAUUUUGCUGGCCACCUUGUCGAUCAAGGGUUGGAAGUGGGAUUUCCUCAGUCUUCGAACCGAUAGGGGCAUGCCAAGGUACUGUAUUGGGAACUCUACCACUUGGGCAGGGAAGAUGCUACUAAUUCUCGCGAUUUGCUGAUCAUUGCAAGCAAUUGGGGCGAUGGAGCACUUCUGUAAGUUGGUGUGCAACCCAGAUGCGUUACCAAAGAAGUCGAGAAUCCCCUUGAGGGCAAUCAAAUCCUGGGCCACCGGCUUAGCAAAAAUGAUCACGUCGUCAGCAUACAAAGAGCAUUGGUGACAUAUGGCACUAUCAGCCGGGUGGGAGAGGACUCCCAGUUCCGUAGCCCUCUGAGAAGCCGGUGCAUCACUUCCAUAAUGAGGAUAAAAAGCAUUGGCGAUAGUGGAUCGCCCUGCCGCAGCCCUCUUGCGUUGCGUAUUGACCGACCUGGGGAGCCAUUUAGCAGCACUCUGGUGGUGGCAGUGGAAAUGAGCACGGAGAUCCAAUCCCUCCACUUAAUCCCAAAGCCUCUCGCUUGUAGAACUUGCAGUAGAAAAGGCCAACAGACGGUGUCAAAGGUCUUUGAGAUGUCAAGCUUGAUUAGGAGGCUGGGCUUGUGUUUCCGGUGUAGGGUUUUCGCAGCUAGCUCCACAAACUUAAAAUUAUCAUGGAUUGACCGUCGCUUCACGAACGUGCUCUGGUUAAUGUCCACAAGGUUGUGCAGCUCCUGAACAAGCCAGUUGGCAAGCAGCUUUGCAACUAGCUUCGCGAAGCUGUGCACAAGGCUGAUGGGUCUGAAAUCAGUCGGGGACACAGCGUCUUGCCGUUUCGGUAGCAGAGUGAUUAGGGAGCAAUUCAGGCGGCCAAAUUGGCGCAUGCACCGUGGUAGAGCGCGUCAAAACAUGCAAGAACAUCUCUUUUGAUCACCGGCCAGGUUGCUUUGUAGAAUUGCUCAACUUGUAGAUGAGGUCCUGCAAGUACCCUGUGGUUUGUAGUCAAACUACAGCAUUACUGCUAUUGCAAAGAUUAGGAGAUUUUAUCUCUCUUUUUCUAGGAAUUUUUUUUAAAUAAACUGCAUGAGAAGAAGUGCAAGUAAAUUCACGGAAAAUGUAAAUUCACUGACUGACCGACCAGUCUCGGUGCCUGAGGCGCUGAUGAUCCCUUGCUUCUCCAGGCGCUUCUUCCUGUCCUCCUUGAUGCGCUCCAGCAGCUCGAUGUCGUCGUCCUCCUCGAGCACAAGGGCCCGCGCGGGGCGGUCGGCAGCGAACGGGGAGAACGACGCCGCCAGGGCGGCGAGCACGCAUGACGCCAGGCCGCUCUGUCGGCCGACGACGGCGGCGGCCUCACGCCGGUCCUGGCCUCCGUUGCUGCUGACGCCUCUGAACUUGGCCCAGCAUGCUGCCGCUGGGGGAUGGUGCUGCGCUGGCAGCUCCUGCACCGCAGCCGCCGCCGCCCGUUGCAACCCUAGCGACUGAUUGUAAAUGAAGAACCAUAGCGACCAAUUGGAAAUGAGAAGAUGAAUAAAAGGAAAGGAGAUGAUAAUGAAGAAAGAUUUGAUAUAUUGUAACAAUGCUAAUUUUCAUCUUUCCAAUCAUACCCAUAUACUACCCAUACUACUCAUGCAUAUUAUUACCUAUACUUCAACUUAAAAUUCUAGUAGUAUACAAUUAAUUUGAACUGUCGGAUCCUUACAUACGAGUCCUUUUCAACAAUAGUAUAGGGUAGUAUUAUACACCACAAAAGAGCUCUAAAUAAAAGGUCCCAGGAGCCUACUGUGUGGUACCUUUCUUUUAAUGGUUUUUUUGCUAACUUCACGCCUUUGGAUGCACAAAAAUGUACUAUUUCUGUUUUUGUUUCAGAAAGAACUGGAGUUUUUCUCUUUCCAAUUCGGUAGUUGUAUAUUUUAAUAUGCAUACUCAAAUCUGCUUGACGUACACGUUUUUCAUGUUAUACUCUAGAUUUCUAUUGAUAAAUCCUAACAUCAGCGAUUACCAAGUGCCAAGUUAUUGAAACCAAAGACAUGGAAAUAUGCCAUUCAUUUGUAGAAAUCAGUGAGCUGUCAAAACAUUAAGUAAGGUUAGUAGCAUAAAAAGUUUGGGUUUUUAUUAGAAUCAUUUCAAUUAAUCUAGUAUUGAUUCCAUAUCCUGUCUAUUGUAGGGACAUGUUUGCUUCAUUUACUGUCAGCAUCCAAACCAUAAUAUGGAAAUGCUAUUUUCCUUCUAUGUUGACCAAGGUCUGAGUUACCAUACAGGCUCUGAUGCAAGUUGUUAAAGGCAGUAUAAAUUCUGUACCAGACAUUUAUUUAUAUUUGAUAAUCAUGAGAGAUAUAUUACUAUUUUAUUUUUGCAUCAAAUGGAUGUGGAGGCUGGGAUAUUAAUACUUUCUCCCAUUAAUACAGCUACAUCAUGGCAGUUAUCUCCCUGUGAUUGGAAGAGAGUUCUGCAUUUUGCAUAUCAACUGCAACUAUAUGAUGUUUAUAACUGAGCCUGGAGAGAUAUUAUGCCAUUUCUGUGACCAUUCUCUUCUAUUAUGUCCAUUUCACAUAUUCAAAACAAAAUUUUCCCUUAAUUGACUAUUGUAUUGAAUUGAUAUUUUCCUUUUUUUAGAUAAUACUGAUAUUUUUAACUUGCUUUACUUUCCCUUAACAUGAUUGGAAGUUUAAGACCAUGCCUAAAUUUCAAAUGUGCCUUCCUUUUAGUGCAUUACUUCUUUGGUGACCAAUUAAUGUUUUGACUAGCUGCUACUGAUCAAUUAUUCAUACCUGCCAAAGGACCAAUAACUUCGUGGUGCAGCCAAUUAAAUUGUUACUGAUUUCAUGCUAUCAACAUGGAAAAAGAUACAGUUUGACACCCAGCCACAAUCAAACAAUAACUUAGUAGUUUGAAAUGGUUAUCGCAAUUUGCGAUGCUUUGUGCAGAGAAGAUGACUCUUUGAGGUUAAAGAAGAUUCUACAAAUACCCAGCAAGCUUCAGGAAUGAAUUAUUUCAAGCUGGUGGCAUAAUAGUGCACACGGCGGAUGCAGCAACAGAGGACAACUCUGCUCCCCGGCCCCAGGCGCGCCGCCGAAAUGCCUCGGCACCGCCGCCUCCGACACGGCAAGGGCAGCGGGCGCCACAAGCUGAUGAACCUGCACAGGCAAAAGCCAGAACUGAGGCGUUUGGCUUUGCCGAGAUGGCCACACCCAUGUCUGAACGGGCAAAGGCCCGCCCUCCGGCGGAGCCCGUAGAGCAGGGCGGCCCCGACGACCAAGACGGCCAGACCGCAGGAGGGAGGGCUCGCGGCGUGUUCUCGCCGCAGGACAUCCAGGCGGACGGAGGAGGAUCUUGCGAUGUGUCGGCGACGGGCGCUGAGGAGCAGGCGGGGUCUCAUGGCGCUGUGGGCAACGGGAGGCCGAGGAAGCUGGAAGGAGGGGACAGGGAGAAUGAUGCUGAAGCUGGUGUGGUGCGAGCUGACGAACAAGCGCGGAUUCUGGACCAUGUCUUCUCCAAAGGACGUCAACACCAGGUACAACAGCAACCUCACCUUUGUUCUUCCUCUUCCUGUAAAGGGUCGUGCACACAAGGUGUUCGGUCUUUUGUCGUUGCAAGUUUUGCAAAGGAAAAAGGGGACAGGGGCAUAUCUACUAAUCAAAGUAGACGGCGUUUAACGCUAGCACCACGAUUAGCACCCGCAGAGCAACUUUGCAGCACGAAGAAGGUACAGUCAGUAUUGACCAGGGAAAAUUUUGAAGAUUCAGAAGUUCUAAGGGAAAGAGGAGGAAUGGAAAAGGAGGAACAGAGUGAGAGAGAGAAGAAGCAAUUCAAAAAAUCGCAGGAUCCUUUGCAAGGUCUCCGAAGGAACGAGACUGGCUCUCGAUUCUGGGCCUUAGCAAAUGAGGACAGUUCUGACGAGGAGGAGGAAAGGGAGGAAGAAAGUGAUAAGAUGAAAAUGGAAAGUAUAGUGGCUGAGGAGAGAAGCUGUUCUUCCCUAGAGGAAAGAACAGAACUCUCUAGCAGUGGAUCUAGAGAAAAGGGAAUAAAAUUAGUUAAGAAGCAGGAAAGCAAAGAUAGAACAAAGGGCAAAGACAAAAAACCUGGACAUAUGAUCAAACCAUGGAAAGGCCCUUUACCUCAGAGAAAUUACCCUUUGAAAAUGUCACUAGGUGACAUCAGGGUAAAAGAUCUGCGUGAGGUGGCCCAUCCAUUGGAUAAGAGAAGUCUAGAUAUUUUUUUGGAGGAAGAAUCAAAAGUUAUGUAUGAGGAUAACUACAUAGGGGAGGCUGAUUCAGUGAAGUUAAGGAUGAACACAUUGGAGAAGAAGUGCUCAUCAAAGAAGACGAAGUUUGAAUUCAAAUUUCAAAAAGUUCCAAAGAUUAACUCAGGGAAAUCAAUAACCUGGGUGGGUAAAACUGGUUUCAUUCAUGUGGGACCACGUGCAGUUUUCCAAUAUACAAAUGGUUUAAGUCAGCUUCUUAAUAAUGGAGGGAAGCUCAAAAGGCAAGACAUUAAAUGUCUGCCCAAGAAUCAAGGUGGUGUUUGGGCUGCCUGGGGUAAAGGGGCGCCAGCCUCUGUGAUUAAUAGCAACUCAUCUGUGCAACAAGCACCCUUUGACAUUCUAACCACAGCUGUCGAGUGUCACAGAGAGAGAACAGAUUGUCAGGAGGAAGAGGAAGAAGGAAGAAUGUUGAGGAGAGGGUUUGGCACAAGAGGAAUAUCUGGAGCUAGGGGAGCACAUGACGGUCGGUUUAACCAGGACCGACUAGAAAUGGGAGCACAAAGAGAAGAUUCAGGAGGCGUCUGGCACUUUGGAGGAAAUCAGAGAAGACAGAUGGAAGCCAGAGCAGGUGGCAGGGAAGGGGCAGGAGAUGGGUAUGGAAGAAGAUUUAUAUCAAGAGAUGGGUCAGGCAAUGAGAGGAAUAGGGAAGGGCAACAACAAGGUUUUGGGAGCUAGAGAGGUCUACAGGGGCCAGGAGGAUCAAGGGUGGAUGUGAGGGUGGAGUCCCUGAGAGGCAGAGGGGGAUGGCGUAGGUGGCAGGAGCGUACACAAAGAGCAGAAGUGGUGAAGGAAGAGGAUAAAGGAAAGAAGGUGAUAACACGUGAUGGUGAACAGAAAGAAGGAUCGAGGGGGAAAGCUGGGAUGGAUUUCCAGAUGACAGUAGAUGGACUUGGAGAAGAAGAGAAAGGAGAUGACACCAAGUCAGGGAUCAAGUGCUCAAAAUGUGCAAAGAAAGGACAUGUGGCUGCCACGUGCACUAAUCCAGUUUACUGUGUUAUCUGUAACGGUGAUGACCACGUCAAUCACAAAUGUUUGCUGCUAAAGCAGUCUAGGCCAGUGGCACACGCGGUGGGAUACGCUGUCUAUGGGCUUGGUUUCUACCACAUUCCACAUCCACCGCUGUCUAGGAGUAAAAAAGAAUCCAAGAAGGCCCUAAUUAGGGUGGGAGGAGGGAAACUAACCAAGGAGAAGGUGGUUUCACAACUGCAAAGGUUGUACCCAGGAAAGUGGAAUUGGGAACUGGAAGACAAUGAAGAUAACACCUUCAUCACUACAUUUCCCUCAAAAUCUGAACUUCAAAGGGCAAUAGCUUUUGGAGGGGCUAAUGUUAGAGAAGAUGGAGUUCAGAUAGGUGUGAGGUUACAAUUUGAAACUUGGCAAGAGAAAGAAGAGGGAUUCCUUUUACCUAAAGUUUGGGUAAGAGUACAUGGGCUGAGAAAAUCUCUAAGGGAGUAUAUGAAUUUGUGGGCAAUAGGUUCAUUGUUGGGAUCUACCCAAACUGUGGAUAUGGAGAUGACUAGAAAAAAUGAAUUUGGAAGAAUAUGUGUGGCAGCCCUUAACCCCUUGCUUAUCCCCUCACAUUUAGAUGUGGUGAUAGGGGAUCACUACUUUGAACUAGAAUUUGAGGUGGAAAGGAAAGGGACUGAUGAGAAUGGAGAGGAAGCAAAUUUUGAUUGGAAGGGAGAUGCAGAAGGAGAGGAUGAGGGAGAGGGCAGUGAGGAUGGCUUAUUGCAGGAUGACCCAGAUAUGAUCAGGGAAAUAAAAAGAAGGAAAAAUGAUAGUGAGGUCAAGGAGAAGGAAGAUAGCAGUACAAAAUAUAGGCAGGAGGAGCAGGGAUGGACAGAUAAAGAAUCAUGGAAAGAUAAAGUUCAGAAGAUGAGUGAAAUGGAGUUUAAUCUGUUUCUUAAGGAAAAGGCAGAAGAAAUAAUGGAUAGAGCAGUGGACAAAACUUUGGAGGUUUUGAUAGAUCAGGUUAUGACUGACCAGAAUGAAAAUAAUGAGGGGGAGAGCAGCUGGGAGGAGGAAGAGGGAACAGAUGAACUGAAGAAGAGGGCUGCAAUUCCUGAGACAGUAAUGACGCCAACAAGGGUUAGUCCAAGGUUGGCUAACUCAGGAGAUGAGCAUAUUCUUGCUAAGACAGAGAAGAUGGCUGCUAGGAAAAAUCUGGAGCUCAAAGAAGGUAAUUAUGAAACUGAAGUCUCCUUUCAUUUUCCUUUAGAUAAUGUUAUCUGUAAUGUUAGUCAACUAGGGGUUAGGUUGGGAGAGAGUGAAAAAGAGAAGGAAAGGGUAGUACAAGAAAUUCUCACAGUACAAAAGAGAGACAUAGAUCUGCCUGUAGAGGUAGAUAAUCAAGAUGAGAGUAAUCUGUACAGUGACAUGGAGGAGGAGAGGGAAGAAAUAGAAAGUAGUCAAAUUCAGAACCUUUGUGGGGAACUUUUGGAAGAGGUUUUUGACGAUGAUUUUAGUUACAUGGAUUUUUACUCUAAGAUGGGUAAUCACAAGUCUUGUGCUAAGUCACGAAAGAGAAAGACUUGUAAGGUCAGGCUACCCAAAGUCAAUAUCGAUAUGGUUUCCAAAUGAGAGGAAUCUUCUGGAACAGCAGAGGUCUUAGUGACUUGGCUAAAAAAAGAUUCCUUUUAGAAACAUCUAAAGAACAGAACUUAGCUUUCAUUGCUCUACUAGAAACAGGAAAAAGAGACUUUACCUAAGCCACUCUAAGUAAUUUGUGUGGGGGAAAAACUUUAUCUGGCAUUGGACUGAACCACAUGGAAGAUCAGGGGGUAUCCUCCUAGGUGUGGAUCUAGAUGAGUUAGACAUUGGUAGUAUUGAUGAAGGAGACUUUUAUGUGAAGUUCAAAGUAAGGACAAGAAAAGAUAAUUUCCAGUUUGUGUUGGUGGCUGUUUAUGGAGCAGCACAACCAGCUUUUAAAGAAGCUUUCUUGACCGAAAUGGUGCAGGCCUAUAGAAAAGAGAACCUUCCUAUUGUCCUUGGGGGAGAUUUUAACAUCAUAAGAAACCCAAGUGAAAAGAACAAUGAAAGGUACGAAGACAAAUGGCCCUUUCUUUUUAACGCUAUCAUAGAUAGCUUAAAUUCAAAGGAGAUACAUAUGUCAGGAAGAAAGUACACUUGGGCUAGUUCCUUAAAAAAUCCAACAUAUGAGAAAUUGGAUAGGGUGUUGGUUAGUACAGAGUGGGAAGAGAAAUUUCCUUUAGCUACGGUUGAUGCAUUGAGCAGGGAAAUCUCAGAUCAUACACCCUUAUUGCUUAGUACUGGACAGGAAGGGGUGAGAAGGAACCAACACAUGUUUAAGUUUGAACUGAGCUGGCUUUUGAGGAAAGAUUUCCUUGAGAUAGUAGCUGAUGUGUGGAGUAAGGAAAGAAAAGGUUCCAAUCCUAUACAGAAAUGGCAAAAUAAGAUUAGGAGGUUAAGGCAAUUUCUGAGAGGAUGGGCUAAAAACCUAAACGGGAAGUAUAAAAAAGAAAAACAGGAGCUACUUAAAAGGGCAAAUGAGCUAGAUAAAAAGGCUGAAUCACAGCUGCUAAGUCAGCAAGAAAGUGAUUUAAAGAAUUGCAUUCAAGAUACACUAGUUCAGCUCCUGAGAGAAGAAGAAAUAAGAUGGUAUCAAAGGGCAAAAAGCAAUAAGCUACUGAAUGGAGAUAACAACACAAAAUAUUUUCAUAUGGUAGCCAAUGGCAAACACAGGAAAACAAGAAUCUUUAGACUGGAACAGGAUGAGGGCAUUAUAGAAGGGGAUGAUAAUCUUAAAAAUUACAUAACUAAAUAUUAUAAAGAACUAUUUGGAUCUCAAUCAAGGAACAUUUGUUCUAUGAACGAAUCCUUGACAGAGGAUAUCCCUCAAGUAUCAAGAGAAGAAAAUGAAAUCUUGACUGAAAAAUUCACAGAAAAGGAGGUCAGAGAAGCUAUCUUUCAAAUGAAGCAUAACAAAGCUCCGGAAUCCGAUGGAUUCCCAGUGGAGUUUUACCAAGUAUUCUGGAGUCUCAUUAAAGAUGAUCUAAUGGCCAUGUUUGAAGACUUCCACAAAGGUAAUCUACCACUAUAUUGUUUAAACUUUGGGAUAAUAACUCUAAUCCCAAAACUCCAGGAAGUGAAAAUGAUCCAACAGUAUAGACCAAUAUGUAUGUUAAAUGUCAGUUUCAAAAUCUUCACAAAAGUGAUGGCCAAUAGGUUUUCUCUGGUGGCUGAAAAAGUCAUCAGGCCAUCACAGACUGCUUUUAUGCCUGGGAGGUACAUAAUGGAAGGGGUAGUAGUACUUCAUGAAACUAUACAUAAGUUAAGCAGGAAAAAGCAAGAUGGAAUCAUUCUCAAAUUGGACUUUGAGAAAGCCUAUGAUAAGGUUAAUUGGUCUUUUCUUCAACAGGCAUUAAGAAUGAAAGGCUUCUCCUCAAAAUGGUGUGAGUGGAUAGAAAGUAUAGUCAGUAAGGGAAGUGUGGGGGUAAAGGUAAAUGAUGAUAUUGGACAUUUCUUCCAGACAAAAAAAGGUCUUAGACAGGGUGAUCCCUUAUCGCCAAUGCUAUUUAAUAUAGCAGCAGACAUGUUGGCUGUUCUUAUUGCUAGAGCAAAACAUAGCAACCAAAUAAAGGGCCUAGUGCCACAUCUCGUAGAUGAAGGAUUAUCUAUCCUCCAGUACGCAGAUGACACAAUAAUCUUCAUGGAAAAUGAUUUAGAGCAGGCAAGAAACUUGAAAUUGGUGCUAAGUACCUUUGAAAAACUUUCAGGCCUCAAAAUCAAUUUCCAUAAGAGUGAAUUGUAUUGUUUUGGGGAGGCAAAAAACCAAGUUAAGGUUUAUGUAGAGAUAUUUGGGUGCAAGGAAGGAACACUACCAUUUAGAUAUCUUGGAAUUCCAAUGAUGCAUCGCAGAAUUGCAAAAAAGGAUUGGAAAAUGACUGAAGAAAGGUUCCAGAAAAAAUUAGCAAGCUGGAAGGGCAAAUUAAUGUCAGUGGGAGGCAGGUUAGUACUGAUAAAUUCUGUCCUCUCAAGUUUACCAAUAUUUAUGAUGUCCUUUUUUAGAAUACCUAAAGGUGUUCUUAAAAGAUUGGAUUAUUAUAGAUCUAGAUUCUUCUGGCAAAGUGAUGAACACAAAAAGAAAUUUAGGUUGACCAAAUGGAGUAUCCUUUGUGCACCUAAGAAUGUAGGAGGUUUGGGUAUCUCCAAUGUGGAGGUUCUAAAUAGGUGCUUGCUAAGCAAGUGGUUUUUUAAACUUCUAAAUGAGGAGGGAGUAUGGCAAACUUUGCUUAGAAAGAAAUAUUUGGUGAACAAGACUCUAACUCAAGUGACAAGGAAAAGGGGAGAUUCACACUUCUGGGCGGGCCUCAUGGAAAUAAAGGAUCAGUUCCUAUCAAUGGGAACAUUUGAGGUGCACAAUGGAGAAAAAACUAGGUUCUGGGAAGACGUUUGGAUGGGAAAGACAACUUUGAGGGAAAGAUAUGCAUCCCUGUAUAAUAUAGUGAGAAGGAAAGAUGACACCGUAGCCAAAGUACGUGGAUCUGCCCCUCUAAAUGUUUCUUUCAGAAGAGCAUUAACAGGGCACAGAUUGGAAGAAUGGCUAAAAUUAGUGGCUGAUAUUAUAAGUCAUGCUACAGACAGGCAGGAAGACAGAUUUAUUUGGAAUAUGAAUAAAAACAAAGUUUUCUCAGUGAAGUCAAUGUACAGAGAAAUAAUGCAAGCUGAAAGAACACCAUCCAUGUGUGUUGCUUGGAAGUUAAAACUUCCAUUAAAAAUAAAGAUCUUUUUAUGGUAUUUAAAGAAAGGGGUGAUUUUAACAAAGGACAACCUCACUAAAAGGAGAUGGCAGGGAAGUACCAAUUGUUGCUUCUGCAGAUCAAAAGAGACAGUGCAACAUCUCUUCUUUGAUUGUAAUCUUGCCAGAUUCAUAUGGAGUACGGUUUUCUUUUCGUUUGGAAUUCAACCACCGACGAGUGUUCCUUAUGCUGGGAUCUUGGGCUAGAGGGUUUCCUCGGAAGAUUAGAAACCAGAUGAUUAUAGGAGCUGGUGCUCUUUGUUGGGCCAUGUGGUUGAACAGAAACGAUGUACUGUUCAAAGGCACGAUCACUAAUUCCUUCUUGCAGGUAAUCUUCAGAGGGACCUAUUGGACAAGAACAUGGGCGGUGCUAUCAAUGGAGGAAGAGAAAAAUGAAAUGAAGAACAACUGUAGCAGGCUCGAAGGCACUGCCUUGGAAUUCUUCUCCAAUAAGUAUGGCUGGAACUUCAGACGAAGAAUACUUCAGUAACAGGAUUUCAUCUAGGCACCGGAGAAGAUCUUAGAGUCCUAUCUAGUGCUUAGGAGUCGUGUUAGUGUUCCUGUCUUUGGAGUGAACUGUGAGUCUUCAAGGGUAGUACUGCUAGAACAGCCUAAGUGUUGAGUUUCUGUAUUUGUGGUGUUAGUUUGGCUGCAGGCAUCCACUCGUGGAUGACCGAGGCCGGAUUCUUUCCUUUAUCUAAAAAAAAAAGAACUGAGGCGUUCAUUGCGUCGGUCCGACUGGCACUACAAGCUCCCCUUGCUGCGGGGCCCCCUAAGCCCACCGCUCCUCCUCCGGCACAGACGCCAAGACGGAGUACAAGGCUGGCAACUAACGCGCUAAACUCUGCGAUCCGUCCAUCCAAGAAGGGGGAACUUCUGACCAUGAAAAAACUCGGCAUCUUAACCCAAGAGCACCAAACUACCUCAGCAGCUGACAAAGAUUUCAACAAAUUCUUGACCACGACAAUGAAGCCGUGCCAUUUUGCGGCAUUCAGGGACAUCUUCCCGGCGGCCAAUAACCUCUCGAUUGGGAAAUGAAGUUCCCUUUUGCCUUCCUUCAGACGCUCUCCUCUGAUAUUUCAGACCAUUGCCCCCUACUGCUAACCACCAACUCAAACUUUUCGGUCAAAAGACGCUUCCAUUUUUAGAUUUGGUGGCUCAAGUUGCCUGGCUACUUGGAAACUGUCGCACAGGGUUGGGUGUGCCCAUCGCACAUCUCUGAUCCUUUCACAAAACUUGACAUGAAGCUUAAAAACACUGCUAGAAAGCUUCAGAGCUGGAGGGGAAUGCAAACACAAGACUUUUCCAUUUGCAAUGUGGCCACAGGGCCAAAAAGAAAUUUAUUGCAAGGCUUGAGCAUGAGGGAGGUGUGGCAAUCUCACAUGAGGAAAAAGAGCAGGUUUUGUUCAGCCACUUGUCUGCUAUUUUGGGCACUGCUAUGCAAAGAGUUGAGAUAGUGAAUUUAUCUGUGUUGGGUUUCACGGCGAGAAACUAAAGCCACCUGGAGGUUCCUUUCAUCGAAGAGGAAAUUUGGAAUGCAAUCUGGAAUCUUCCAAAUGAAAAAGUGCCCGGCCCAGAUGGCUUCAUCGCUGAGUUCUAUAAGACAGCCUGGUCAAUCAUCAAAACUGAUGUGCUGGCGGCCUUUGAUGCAUUCUAUAGGAACAUAGUGGCACAACUGCAUAAACUCAAUGGAGCCUUGAUCACCUUAUUGCCCAAGAGGCAGGAUGCCAAAAUACGAGGAGAUUAUAGACCAAUCAGUCUCAUCCACAGUUUCGGGAAGCUCCUGGCAAAGCUGUUAUCAAACAGAUUAGCACCUGAACUCAGCGCUUUGAUAGAUGUCAACCAGAGUGCUUUCAUUAAGCAGAGAUCUAUCCAUGACAAUUUUAAAUUCGUUGAAUAGGCUGCUAGAACCUUACAUAGGAAAAAGAAGCCUACACUACUGAUCAAACUUGAUAUCUCCAAAGCCUUUGACAGUGUCUGCUGGCCUUUCCUGUUGCAGCUGUUGCAAGCCAUGGGGUUUGGUUUAAAGUGGAGAAAUUGGAUGGCAACCCUGGUUUCCUCAGGUACAACAAGAAUAUUGCUCAAUGGUUCUCCAGGGCCGGUGAUUCAUAAUGCAAGAGGCUUAAGACAAGGGGAUCCCUUGUCCCCAAUGCUCUUCAUUCUCACAAUUGAGGUGCUCCACAGGCUCCUGAGGAAAGCAGUGCAGAAUGGUGUCCUCAAACCUCCGACUGAUUCUGCAAUACAUCAUCAGUGCUCCAUUUAUGCGGAUGAUGUAGUGUUGUUUGCUGCCCCUGAGGUUCAGGACAUCACAACCAUAAGAGAAACUCUUAAUUUCUUCGGCAGCACAUCAGGUUUACACACCAACCUGCACAAGAGCUUAAUAGCUCCCAUAGCUUGCAAUGCUGAGCAAGUUCAGAACAUCCAGGGCAUCUUGCCAGCUCAGAUCGCUGUGUUCCCCAUCCAAUACUUAGGAUUGCCCCUAUCAGUUACCAGGCUCAAGAAGUCGCACUUUCAGUCCUUAAUUGACAAAGUUGCAGCAAGUAUUCCGACAUGGAAGGCUCCGUUGAUGAACAAAGCAGGCAGGCUCACCACUGUAAAAGCAGUUAUGAGUGGAACUGUUGGAAUAAAGUGGCUAAAAAACAUUCCAGAUUUUAUUUGGAGGAAAAACACAUAGAUGAAAAUUAACGCAAGCAUACAACACAUGUAAACAGUCAGCAUAUUGACUAGAACAAGGUGUUGCAGGGACAUUACUCAAUAAUUCCGCAUAGAACGUAGUCGAACGUGUUGUAGGUGUUGCAGAGUCACCAAGCGGUCGCGUGUAGAUGCUGCCCAAAAACCUAAUUGUCGCCCCGUGCAGGAGUCUCGCGGCAGUGGUUUCGGAGAUCCCGUGCAGGACGUCUCCUGGUGUUAUAGACUCAAUACAACAUAAGUUUCCCCCAUCAAACAGCCUCAUAAAUUAGUAGUCACAAGUCACAAGUCACGCGAUUUUUCACGCAAAAAUGUGCGUGCGUGUAGCAACAGGCUCCUCUCUCUCUCACUUGCACCUUUUUUGCAUAAAGAGAAGACCCCCAUAUUUAAGCAAAGUAACCUCUCCUUGAAUUAACAAUAUGGGACUAAAGGUUGUGCAUGCUUUGGAAUUUUCAGAUUAGGCCAUGUAUGGGCCAAAAUCCAACAGGAACAUCAAAGGAGAGUAUUCAGCGAAAUCGGCAUAUCGUUUCUUCUUCAGAACUGCCGUCAGAUGCAGUCAGAUUCGCUGCAGCUAAGCUGAUUUGGAAAGUAUGGGUUCCUCUCAAAAUUAAGUUCUUCAUGUGGUUGGCUAUCAAGAACAGGUUGUGGACGGCAGCGAGGAGGCAAAAACGUGGACUGCAAGACCAGGCUGAUUGUGUGCUUUGUGAUCAAGAGUUAGAGACGGCAAAUCACCUGCUAUCCAGAUGCUCCUACACUCUCCAGGUGUGGCAACAUAUCAGCGCUUCAAUGAACUUGCUGAAUAUUGCUCCAACACAAAAUCAGUCCCUCCUUGACUGGUGGCUGCAAAAAAGGGAAGGAUUCAAUGCCUGCAACCGAGCGUUCGGCCGCUCGCAGGCAGAGUGUGGAGCGCCUAGUCUAGGAGAUCACAACUGAAGGGGACCUCUAGUGCGCGGCAGGCGCCAAACACCUGGCAGCACUUGGCUGGCCAGGGACAGCAGGGUUGCCUAUCUCAUAGAGGAUCUACUCUUCUCUAUCCAUUCGUUGUAAGAGUUUCAUGUAAUAGCUGUUAAUGUAAGCUUAAACCGUAUGCGUGCACCCGGCAGGCCAUGUUGUAUGUCUUUUUUCUGCUUAAUACAAAGAUUCGCAGCUCUCCUGCGUGUUCACGAAAAAAAUGAAUACAUACUUGUAUGAGCAUUGCAUUGUAAAAUGUACCAAAGUGCAGUCACUGCCUUCUUCUCACAAACAAACAAUACUCGAUAAACACAUAAAGUCAUUCGCUCAUGAUGCUGUUCAACAAAAAACAAAGCUUUGAACACAUUCAUACAAGGUAAAGUCGAACAAACCAAACCACUUAGAAAACAUGAUAAAAUCCAGAAUUGGACCGAACUAAUUGCUGACAUGACUUGAUAGUAGAUGACAUAAAUAUGGAUGAGGAUGUGUUGACACUUUUUUGAGCCAACACACGAACGCACACGAUCGUGCGGUGCACGGAGGGGCUCGCGGCAGCACCUCGACGCAGGCCGGUCUAACCGGUUAUAGGGAUUGGUCUGACCGGUUGUUGGGUAGGUCGACGGUAGACCUUCGAACGUUCACCCGGGAAGGAUCCCGUCGGGGGCAGGCGCAUACAGGGUUGCUCUAGGAUCGGCAGGCCACCUAGAGCGCCUUCAAACCUCGUCGAGACGAAGGAAGAACAGCAAGUGGUAGAUUGGAAAAGCUAGGGCAAAAGAAUAAAGGAAAAAAAAUGAUAAAUAAUAGAUUGGUUUAUGUCGACUAGGUUGGAUGUCCUCAACCGGUCGAAUCCCUUUAUAUUUAUAGGGAGGGAAGGUCUUCCCCACGUAGAAGUCGAAAUCCUAAUACAAAUCGUGCCAAAUUACAACUCCUACUCGGAUUACAUAGAGCCAGACUGGUCAGACCGGCCUGGGCAACCGGUCUGACUGGUCUGCUCGGGUGCAGAUUUUGCCAAGAUCGUAUCUCCCUCAUCCGAACUCCAAAUCGGACGUUUUAUAUAUGAAUCUUGAUCUACUCGACAAGAUCUACACAAUGGUAGAGUCCAAUCUUCAUUUGGAGUACUUUGAUCCAACCAGUCUGACUGAUGGGUCAACCGGUCUGACUUGUCUGCACAGGGUGCUGAUUUUUUCGAGGGCAUAACUCUCUCAUCCGAAGUCCAAAUCGGACGUUCCAUAUAUGCAUUUUGAUCGUCUCGAUGACAGCUACACCAUGGUGAAGUAAAAUUUGCAUUUUGAGAACAUUCACCAAACCGGUCUGACCGGUUGGAAGACCGGUCUGAACAGGCCUGACCAGAUUUUCCAAGUCCUACCACUUUUGGGCUCCAACAGGAUGUGUCUACAGUAAUUUAAUAAUACUAACAACUAGAAUCAAAGGAUACAUAUCAACUGCAAAAUCAUAAGCAAGGCACACUCUAUGUUUCCAUUUGGGCUUAUUCUAUAGCAAAUCUAUGUAAACUACUUAAGUAUUCACAGCAGGCUGAGUAGCAGGGUCCAGCUUUCUCUGCUCCUAAAUUUUCCUGAGCUUAAUACCCUUACCCUUGGGGAGACUCACCCAUGGUUUGUUCCCCUUGCCAAUUGUGAGCACAUUGCCCAAAUAGGUGGCAAAGGCAUGUGUUAGAAUGUGUGUAAUUGGGCCCAGCCCGGCUAGGCCCAUGCGCAUGGCUCCCCCUGACAGGCGCUUGUUGCGCCAGAUCAGGAGCCAGCCACCAGGGCUUUCUUGUCCCUUGCCUAUAUAUGUGUACGCUAUGCACCUCCAUAAUCAAUCUACAAUUUCCUAGCCAUAUUUGCUUUCAUGGUAUCACGAGUCCGGGUUCCUACCCCGAUUUAGCUUCCGCUUUUCUAGCACAUGCCGUCACUAUGGCUGGCUCCACGUACCCUGUCGCUGAUCCAGUCGCUACAUCGCCCACGGCAGAGGAGCAACACCUCGCCGAGGAGGCCUAGCGGCAGGCUGCCCGCACUGCCACCCUCGCCCACGCUGUCCAGGCUGGGCAGCUGGCGGCUACCGCGGCUCAGGAACGCGACGCCGCUGAUGCCCACCUCCGCGACGCCCUGGCCCUUGCUGUCGAGGAGCGCGCUGCCGCUAAGGCCGCUGAUCCACCACCCAGCAUUCACCCUGACAACGAUGACGAUGACCACAAGAAUCAUGUCGUCCCCUUUGUCCACGACGCCAUGCUGCUCCACGAGGUCGCCGCCGUCCUGAACCUGCACGCCCAGCCUGUUGCACUUUAGAACAUCUGCAGCCUCAUCCCGAUCAUCCUCGACGUCGCCUCCACCAACUACGCCCGCUGGCGCGAGCAAUUUCUGCUCACCGUCGAGAAGUUCUCCCUCGACGCCCACGUGCUUCAGGACAGUCCUCUCCCCGGUCACCCUGACUAGGCGCGGAUGGAUUGCGUCGUUCGGUCUUGGAUCUACGGCACCCUCUCCAACGACCUCACCGACACCGUGAUGACGCCUGGCGCCACUACCCGCUCCGUCUAGCUUGCCGUCGAGUCUCAGUUCCUCGGCAACCACGACACACGCGCCCUCCUCCUUGAUGCCCAGUUUUGCACCUUCGUCUAGGGUGAUCUAUCCAUCACUGACUACUGCCGCCGUCUGAAGGCCAUGGCUGAUGCCGGCGAGCUCGGUGAGCCUGUCACUUACCGAUCCCUCAUCCUCAACGUCAUCCGCGGCCUCAACUCCAAGUACGCCACCAUCGGUCUUCACCUUCGUCGUGCUCGCCCGUUCUCAAUGUUCCUGGAGGCUCGGAAUGAUCUGCUGCUCGAGGAACUCACCUUCACGUAGCCGUCCUCGGAGCCCUCCACCGCUCUUCUCGCUGCUACCCCGAGCGCCUCCACAUCAGCCCGGCCGCCCCAGGCCUCGCAGUAGCCCCAUUCUGGGGGUGGCUCCUCCAAGACUCGUCACAACAAACGUAACUCCGGUAGCUGCAACUCCAAGGGUGGCAACUCCGGCAGCGGUAGUAACAGCGUCGGUGUCAGCCAACGCCCCUCCAGCGGCACCAAGCAGGGCGCCCCCCAGGGCCCCUCCAACGUCACUCCCUAGCUCUCCUUCCAGAACCCGUGGACUGGGGCCAUCCAGAUGUGGCCCGGUACAUGCGCUCCGCAGCCCGGGGCACCCCACGCCAUGCUGGCCCAGUUCUCCAUGCCACGCUAGCCCAGCAGGCGCAGCUCCAGGCACUCCAGGUAGCCCAGUUCCAGGCUGCCCAGCUGUAGGCUGCCCAAUUGCAGGCGGCCCAGGCGCAGGCUCAGGCAUACUAGGCCGCCUAGGCAUAGGCUCUACAGCAGGUGCCGUACCAGCUCUCCAUCGCCGGCACCGCCACCAGCACACCAUCGUGGGAUUAGCAAUCCCUCGCCUCCACCUUCAACACUAUGACGCUAAACCAGCCGCAGCAGCACAAGUGGUACUUCGAUUCAGGUGCUACCUCCCACAUGACCUCCGAUGCUCAUUCCUUCUCGCAUAAUUUCACCCAGCGGUACCCUUUUCCAUCAGCUAUUGUUGUCGGUGACAGUUCUUUACUUCUUGUCACCUCCACUAGCGCAGAUGUUCAUCCGGGUCCUUAACAUCUUAAUAAUGUUCUUGUUUUACCCAACCUUAUUAAGAAUCUUAUUUCCAUUCGCCAAUUUACCAUCGAUAACAAUUGCUCAGUUGAAUUUGAUUUGUCUGGUUGUUCUGUGAAGGAUCUUCGAUCCAGGAAUGUGAUUGUCAGGUGCAAUAGUUCGGGUCCGCUAUACCCCCUGCACCUCCCUGCUGCUGCUACUCUUACUGCUGGCGUCACCUCCACGGUCUGGCACCAUCGUCUCGGCCAUCCUAGGCAGGAAGCCCUCGCCCGUCUUGCGCUAAUUUUACCUUCAUGUAAUAAAGACAUUAGCUCAUCUCUCUGCCAUGCAUGUCAGCUCGAACUACACACUCGUCUUCCCUUUCGAGUGUCCUCCUCUUGAGCUUCCAGGAAUUUUGAUCUUAUUCAUUGUGAUCUCUGGACAUCACCUAUUCCUAGCAUCUCAGGUUUUAAAUAUUAUUUAAUUGUUCUCAAUGCUUGCUCUCACUUUUCUAGAACUUUUCCUCUAAGGCUGAAAUCUGACACAUUUGAUACUCUUGCUAAUUUCUUUUCCUACGUGCUUACACAGUUCGGCGCCACCAUUAAGGUCGUCCAGUGCGAGAACGGUCAUGAGUUUGACAACUCUAGCGCUCGCACGUUCUUCCUCUCCCGUGGCGUCCACUUCUGGUGGUAUGCUCUGAUGCUGAUUGGGCGGGCUAUCCUGACACACGCAAAUCCACUUCCGGUUAUGUGGUCUUCCUCGGCGACAACCUGAUCUCUUGGUCCUCAAAGCGUCAGCCCACCGUCUCGCCAAAGCUGAGUACCGUGUUGUGGCCAAUGCCGUCGCCGAAGCUACCUGGCUAUGCCAGCUACUUCAAGAGCUCCAUGCCCCCACUUCACCGCACCUCCUUGGUCUAUUGCGACAACAUCAACGCGGUCUACAUGUCCUCCAAUCUGGUUCAGCAUCAGCACACCAAACAUAUCGAGAUCGAUCUUCACUUCAUUCAGGAGCGCGUCGCUGUGGGUGACGUUCGUGUACUACAUGUUCCCACAUCGUCCUAAUACGCCGAUGUCUUCACCAAGGGGUUGUCGUCUUCUAUUUUUACAGAAUUUAGGUCCAGUCUAAACAUUCGUGGCACCAGCGAUUAGACUGCAGGGGCGUGUUAGAAUGUGUGUAAUUGGACCCUAGCCCGGCUAGGCCCAUGCGCAUGGCUCCCCCUGAUAGGCGCCUAUUGUGCCAGAUCAAGAGCUAGCCGCCAGGGUUUUCUCGUAGAAUAGGUAAGGCUCCUAACCCUAGGACCCUUGUCUAUAUAUGUGUACGUGCUAUGCACCUCCGUAAUCAAUCUAUAAUUUCCUAGUCAUAUUUGCUUUCAGCAAGACCAAGGCAUCCUCCACAUGGAGGAUCUCAUAAUUGCCCUUGUGCUUCUCCCUAUUCUUUUAUUAUAGCAACCUGACCAGUCUAGUGACCGUGACAACAUUACCCACAUCAAACUUGAUGAAAUCAACAAUCUUACCUGUCUCCGGAUCAAUUUUGAUUGUGUCAUUCACUCAUUUGCCUUUGGCCUGUUUAUUUCUGCAGGACCGUGCAGUGUGGCAGCAGGGAUGACGCCCGGGUGCGCGGAGCCCCGGUGGUGGGAUCGACGACAAGGGUGCGCGUGCGGGGCGGUCGCCCCGACCUGGUGCUGGUGGCUGCCUGUGCAUCACCGACACUUGGUGGCUCUACAUCCAGGUGGCUUUGCGUUUCGUGCGGCUGUACAAUUCUAUAAAUACAAAAGUCUCUCUACAUGUACAAUUUGAUCACUACACAAAAUAUCUCUACACUACCUGAUCACUACAAUACACCGAAGCGACAACACCUAUCGUUCUGGUAGGUGAAGUUGCAACCAAGUGUUAGGUGAAGAUAGAAUAAUUAGCUGAAAAAAAAUCAGUUUUACAACAGGCAUCAAAGGGGAAGAGCAAUAUCAUUUCAGUCAAUAGUAUAAACAAUAUGCUUUACAAUAAGUAUUUUAUAAUACAGGUAAUCUAAUAAAAUCAAGUUUGUGUUCAAAAAAUAUAUAUAGUCGACUUGUCCAUCCGUAUCUCCAUGUUAUCUUGUUAGUUGGCUCUGAACGUCCAAAAAGAAUGCCAAUUGGUGAGCUGCUGAGGUCAAUUAUAACAUGCUAGACCUAUUGGUACGUCAAUAAAAUCACUAAACUGCUUUGACUAGGUAAAAGGGGUUAAUUUGUCUGGUUUUAAGAGAUGUUAGAUGUGUGUUGUCUAGUAUUCGAGCUCAAGAUUUUUCUUACUCUUCCCUUCCUUCCUCCUUCAAACCUCUCAUCCGAGCCCAAUCUCUCGCAUGGAGCCCGACUCCUCUUAGACCUCCUUUGGAAUAUAGGAUACAUGUAGAAAUUUUGUAGGAUUUGAAUUCUAUAGGAAUUUUUCUCAUGUGUCCCUUUGGAACAAAGGAUUGGCUAACCUUUUAAUCCUUCAAAAUUCAUAUGGAAUGGUUUAAUCCAUAGGAAUUUUGGAGAAAAUCUAACAUGAGGUCUAACCUCUUGGAAACUCUUCUUUGUGUCUAUCUCUCUUCUCGUUUCUUUGUUUUUCCUACGUUGCAUCCAAACACACAAUUACAAAUUUUUCUACAUUAUCAAUUUUUAUAGGAUUGCAAAUAUCACGUAACUCCGUUCCUACGUUUUUCCUAUUCCCACGUUUGGAGAUUCCUUUUUAAAGAUGUCCUUAGCUUUCUAUUUUAGGCCUUGUUUAGUUCCCAAUUUAGGAGUGGCAAAAUUGGCAUUUUGCCAUAAAUGCGCAAUGUAGUAUUUUGUUUGUAUUUGUGAAUUAUUAUCCAAACAUUGGCUAAUUAGGCUCAAAAGAUUCGUCUCGCAAAGUACAAUAAAAAUGUGCAAUUAGUUUUUGAUUUUAUCUAUAUUUAGUACUCCAUACAUGUACCGCAAGUUUGAUGUGAUGGGGAAUCUUUUUUUACAUAGUGUUAAAGUUGGGAUUUUGGAGGGAAGUAAAGAAGGGCUUAUUUGUUAUAUGAUUGAUCGUAUGUGACAGUGACCGUGCAACACCUGCAACGUUGAGGUACGUGACAAGGCCACACAUGCAUAUGCCAGCUCAUUGGCUCGCCCUAAUCAGGCACUACCGUCCACAGAAGUCUGAACAACGGGCGUGAACCAGGCUGUACCCUCGUGGUCAUUGUAGAAUGCACAUGGAAAGCCGUGAUGAUAUUAUUUUCUAUUAAAGCCGUAAUGAUCAGGGCUUUCGAUGAUAUUACUCAAAUUUAAAGCCGUAAUGAUGCUGUCGACGAUACUACCGUCCACAGAAGUGGCGCCGGAAGUCCUCGCACGCUGACAACGCAACACUGUUGUUAGUACUGCCAUGGGACCUACUAGUGACAAGGCAGCACAUGCAUGUAGACCCGCUGUUGUUGACGGCUCUCCCUCAGCAAGGACGCUGGGAGCAAUAAUGAGGCCACAUCUGCUUCAUCAUGAUCCUUCGCCGAUUAUUGUUUCAGUCCUUUUGCUUCGCUGUACCUAUAGACCAGUAAUGCUGGACUGAAUCAUGAUUUGAGACCUAAUCCCUUCGUUAAUCUUCUGUAAAGCAGCACAUGUGUAAAGCCUACACGACGAUGUUUUUUCCCCCUCCUGUUUCGCUUUCGCCAUUUGACGAGAUCAACGAAAUUCAUCCGCAACAUCCAUGCAUGAUGAUGAAAUUUGGAGCCUUCUUGACAUGACUUCACCUCCAACUCCCAACUUUGGCACUAUGCAAAAAGAAGAUUCCUCAUCACAUCAAACUUGCGAUACAUGCAUGGAGUACUAAAUGUAGAUGAAAUUAAAAACUAAUUGCACAGUUUUGUUACUUUGCGAGACGAAUCUAUUGAGCCUAAUUAGUCAAUGUUUGACAAUAAUUCAUAAAUACAAACGAAACGCUACAGUAUGCUACAGUGCCAGCACAGUAAUUUAGCACCUCCCAAUUUGGCCAACUAAACAAGGAUUGUGACUCGUGCAGCUGGUACAGAGAGUGACUGAUUCCUGCAUUCUAUUAUUGCCUCUUGAAUAUUCCGUGGCUGUUCAACUGUGUUGUGACGGUGAACAUGAAAAUUGCUUUUUAUAUUUAUGUAUUUUCGUUUGCAAUUUGGGCUUUAUUGAGCUUUUCUAUUUGUUAUGUCCUCAAACUUAAAAUCUUUUUUUUUCUAACAGCGCACAUGAUAUAUCAAUGAUCUUACUGUCUUGCUUCGGAUUAGCAACCUGGUAAUCAUGAAUUAAUUAGACUUAAUAGAUUCGUCUCGCGAAUUAAUUAGCUGCAAUUGGCUUUGUAAUUAGUCUAAAUGUUUAAUACUCCUAAUUAGUAUCUAAACAUUCGAUGUGAUAGGAGCUAAAUUUUAGCUCGAGGAACCGAGCAAAUCCUGCAAUUUUGAAAAGGUGAGGCACUAGUUAAAUUUUAACACGUUAAUAAUUUUAUAAAAUAAAUUCAAGAGACCUUGUCGACGAAAUAAAAGUGGUAGGUACACCGUACACAUCAUUAUUGUCAAGUCAUCGGGCCCAUUUGUUUCGUUCACCAAGAGUCCAAUCGCUAUAAUUGGAGAGGAAGAAAUGGAAGAAUGUGACUCGACCAAUAGAUAAAUGGUAUCGCUUUUUCCCUGUGAGCGCAACCCAGGAAAUGCAAAAGGCUGCUCCAGAAUGCAGAACAUUUAUAUGGUCUUUGAACACACAUGGCUACCUGAACACUGUGCACCGGUAAACACGUUUGUUCAGUGAUCAAUCCAUCAUUAGCAUAACUAAACCAGGAUGUGACUAUUAAGUAGGAGUAUUACCUUAAGAUGUGAACAGAAACACUGCAGCUUCACAAGCACAGCCAACAGCAUCCACACCUGUCGUCAUCAGCUUAUAAAAAUAGCUUGGACUUGUCUAUCAUCUUCUGAUCCUUUGCUUAUUUUAUGGCUCCUGGUGUGAGCUGAGCACAAGUCUUCCAUGCUAGUCUUCUCCUUCUGCCAUUGCAAGUCUUGCAGAAACAUAUCCUCUUCUCCAUCUUCUCUUCCCGUACGCCGCCGGCCCCUCCGCUGCGACCGCUACUGCCCCGCCUCUGCUACUGCUGCUCUGUCAGCCUAGGCACCCAAGAAGGUCAGUGCUUGGCGGUUGUCUCCAUUUACCUCCAAAGCGCUUCCGCAGACCAUCCUCUUCUCCACUCCAAAGUGUCUUCUCAUUUCUCAGCGUGCGUUCUCGUGAGCUCUGACUGCUCCAAUGGCCGAGCUUGUGGGCAGCAUGGUGGUCGGGCCACUGCUGUCUCUGGUGAAGGAGAAGGCGUCCAGCUACCUCCUGGACCAGUACAAGGUCAUGGAGGGCAUGGAGGAGCAGCACAAGAAGCUCAAGGUCAUGCUGCCGGCCAUCCUGGAAAGGAUCACUGACGCAGAGAAGCAGGCAACCUCCAGAGAAGCAAUCAGACCCUGGCUUCAGGAGCUUAAGGUGGCGGCGUACGAGGCCAUCCAAGUCUUCGAUGAAUUCAACUAUGAGGCCCUCCGUCGUCAAGCCAAGAAAGAGGGGCGCUACAUCAAGCUCGGCAUGGAUGCAGUAAAACUCUUUCCCACUCACAACCGCAUCAUGUUCCAUUACAGGAUGGGCAACAAGCUUUGCAAGAUUGUGCGUGAUAUUGAUGCCCUUGUCAAGCAUAUGCACGACUUUGGGUUCGACAAACAGCCACAAGCGCAGGUUCAGAUAAAUUAUCUGCGUGAGAAUGACUCCACCAUGGUUGAUCCAGAGAUUGUCAGCAGAUCCAGAGAUGAAGAGAAGCAAAAGAUUGUUAGAAUGUUGGUCAAAGAACAAGCUAACAAUAAGGAUCCAAUGGUCGUUCCCAUUGUGGGGAUGGGUGGGUUGGGCAAGACCACCCUAGCUCAGCUCAUCUUUAAUGACCCUGAAGUGAAGAAGCAUUUCCACCAACUAAUGAAGUGGGUCUGCGUGUCAGAUGAUUUCGAUGUUUGUAACCUUGCCAACAAGAUCUGCAACGCUUCUGAGAGCAACCUGGAGAAUGCCUUGCAGAAGCUUCAGAGAGAACUCGCUGGAAAGAGGUACUUUUAGAAUUUAAUUUGAUGUUGAUUCACUCAUCUCAAACACGCACACUGGUUUUUUUUCCUCACACACGCUCAAAAUAUGUGCAUUACCCUUGAGAAUAACACGUAAUUGAAAGGAUAAGUAAAGCACAUGCAAACUACAUACACAAAAUUCAACUUCAAACUUAGAUCCGCAUACACUUUUAAUUGCUAGUGCUAGUGAACUUCGUACACUUGAAGAAACUAUGAAAAAUGUACACGCACACAUCAUGUCAAGUCGUACACAGAAGGCAACAUCCAACAUUUUUUUUAAUUAAGGAAAAACAUCCGAUCUUGAACAUUCACACGUGAAUAGAAAAUUUUAGGAUCAUUUGAUCAAAAAUUUUAAGUGAAUAGAUCUUCAAAAGGUUAGCAGGAAAAAAACAUUUCAUCUUUUUCUGCUCCCUCAACUCAUGCUAAGGAGCUGCAAAAGCUAACGACGCCUCUUGUUUUGAGGCCCCAGCAUUGAAAUCAAGAAGACAACAACGCCUCACCACUGGCAAGUUGCCCUCUAGAUAUGCACGGAACUUGCACAUCUCACAUACCAUUUACGCUUCCUCUGGUGGCAUUCACAUAACUUAAGAAAAAGACGUACACAAAUAGAAACGCACUAAUGACAUGAUUAUUUGUAACAGGUAUCUUCUUGUAUUGGACGACGUCUGGAAUAAGGAUGAUAACAAGUGGAACAAGCUGAAUGCUUGUCUUAAACAUGGUGAUGUUGGUAGCGCCAUACUAACGACAACCCGUGAUAAAGAAAUAGCUCAACUCAUGGGUAUAGAUAAAGAACAUGGCAUUGCACGUUUGGACAAUAAAUUCAUCAAGGAAAUUAUUGAGGCUAAAGCAUUCAUUUCGCAAGAGAGAAAACCAGCUGAUUUAGCUGGCUUGGUUGAUGACGUUGUUGAGAGAUGUGCAGGGUCUCCAUUGGCAGCGAAGGCACUAGGAUCUGUACUACGUGGCAAGACAACGGAAGAAUGGAAGGCUGUGCUUAGCAAAAGCAUCGCCCAUAACAAGGACGAUCAAAUCCUGCCUAUUCUCAAGCUCAGUUACGAUGACCUGCCAUCACACAUGAAGCAGUGCUUCGCUUUCUGUGCUGUGUUUCCCAAGGACCAUGAGAUUGACGUGGAAAUGCUGAUCCAACUAUGGAUGGCAAAUGACUUUAUUCCCGAACAAAAAGAUGCUCAUCAUGAAACAAUUGGUAAACAGAUUUUCAGUGAGCUGGUCUCAAAGUCAUUCUUUCAAGAUGUGAAGCAAGUCAAAGGGGAAAGAUAUGAUUCCGUGUAUUGGUAUUUCUCUACAAGUACAUGUAAAAUCCAUGAUCUUAUGCACGAUGUGGCACUUUCUGUCAUGGGCAAAGAAGUUGCUACCAUAACUGAGAAGCCAAAGCAGAGUGAUGAGUUUCUUCAGAACACUUGUCGUCAUAUAUUGUUAUCAUGUGAGAAGCCAGAGGCCGUUUUGAAUGAUUCUCUGAAUAUAAGGUCUCCAGCUAUGCAAACACUACUAUGUGGUCAGCGCAUAGGAAAUUCCCUGCAGCAUCUCGCAAAAUACAGCUCUCUGCGUGCAUUGGGACUUUGGCAGGAUAAGAGCACAAUCCUACUGAAACCAAAGCAGCUACAUCUCUUGAGGUAUCUUGAUAUCUCGGGUAGUGAUAUAGUGGCACUUCCGGAAGAUAUCAGCAUUUUGUACAAUCUGCAAACGCUGAAUGUUGCGCACUGUCGCAAACUUGGCCGGCUUCCAAAGGGAAUAAAGUACAUGACUGCCCUCCGUCACCUCUACACUCACGGAUGUAAGGAGUUGAAGCGCAUGCCACCAGAGGUUGGACAUCUCACUUCCCUGCAAACACUUACAAAUUUCGUAGUGGGUGCAGGCCCUGAUUGCAGUAGUAUUGCAGAGCUGCAGCAUUUAAACAACCUUGGUGGUCCACUACUGCUUAGUCAACUCGAAAAUGUGACAAAAGCAGCAGAUGCAAAACAGGCCAAUCUUGGAAAUAAAAAGGAGCUCAGGGCAUUGUCAUUAACGUGGACACGUAGUGAGGGGGAGAAACAACAUUGUCAUAAGGUGCUGGAGGGUCUGGAAGCUCCUCCUGGACUAGAGGCUCUGAGGUUAAAGUAUUACCAAGGAACCAGUUUCCCAACAUGGGUGGGUACGCGGCCAAAAAUGGUGGAGCUUCAUCUUUCUGACUGUAACAAGUCCAAUAAGCUUCCUCCACUUGAGAGUGUACCAGCUCUACAAGUUCUUCGUCUGGAAAGAUUGAAAAAGCUGGAAAGCUUGUGCAGUGGUGGUACAUUCUUUCACUUUCCUAAUCUGAAGGAGCUUACGCUGGAAGACCUGCCGGAAUUUGAUAGAUGGUGUGAAGUAAACUGGGUCCAAGGAGAACAGAUAAUGUUUCCUCAACUUGAGAAAUUGUUUAUUACAAAUUGUGGAAAGGUUACAGCAUUACCAGGGCCAGCACUUCUCGGAGGAUCGUGCUGUGGAGAUUACAAGGAGCAAGACGAGAGGAAGCUUUGGUCGGCAUUUCCAGUCCUGAAGGAACUCGAAUUAAAAUGCUUAGCAAAGUUUCAGAGGUGGGGGGGCGCUGCUGAAGCAACUCAAGGGCUGCAGAUAAUAUUUCCUCAGCUUGAAAGUUUAUCAAUUUACAGAUGUAAAGAGUUGACAGCACUGCCAGAGGGGCCUGAGCUCGGAGCAGCACCGAAGGUGCUAAAAUCACAAGACUUGGAGCUUGGGACAACAUUGUGUGGUGGAGAUUAUGGAAAGGCACGAUCAUCCUUUCCAGCACUGAAGGUACUAACAUUGUUUUGGUUGGACAACUUUCAGAGCUGGGAGGCAACGGAAGCAGAUCAAGGAGAUACAAUAUUUCCAAAUCUUGAAGAGUUAUCAAUCGAAAAGUGCCCCGAACUGGCAGCAUUACCAUCAGCUACAUCUCAGGGAGUAUCAUUUGACCAUAGUGGUGUUACAGCAUGGUCAACAUUCCCAAACUUAAAGAAGCUCCAGUUAUGUUACUUAGAUAGUUUUAAGAGCUUGGGGAUGACGGAAGAUCAGAGAUUCCCUGACCUUGAGACUCUGUUUGUUGAGAAAUGUCCCAAGUUGACAACUCUACCGAGGGUGAUAGAAGCACCAAAGCUCCGUGUAUUAGAAAUAUAUGGCAGCCAACUGACAGCAAUAAUUGUGCCUACAGUUAUUAACUCAUUGUCCGAACUGGUGUUAUCAGUCGAAGACACAGAAACUACUUUACCAACUGUGCAUGGUGCCUUUGAGCUGGUGGACGCCAAUAAUAAAUACCCUCUGACAGAUCUGGAGCUAAGCGGCUGCAACUUUCUGUUCCCCUCAAGUCCACUGGCACUAUGGACAUGUUUUGUCCAGCUCCAACGUUUGACAAUGAAGAUCAACCAUGCGCUUGUCUACUGGCCGGAAAAAGAGUUCCAGAGCUUGGUAUCCUUGAGGCACCUUACCAUUUGGAACUGCAGUGGUCUGAUUGGGUACGCGAAAGCUGCUCCUGGCCAACCAAUAUCAGAAAGGACCCAAGUUCUGCCCCGUCUCAAGUCUCUAGACAUACAGGAUUGUGGAAGUCUGGUAGAGGUCUUCAACGUCCCCGCAUCUCUCGAGACGAUGGAUUUGCGCCGCUGCCCCAAGCUUAAGUCCAUAUUCGGAGAGCAACAGGACGAGCCAACAUUCAAUCAAGGGCCCAGCGCUGCACCGAAGCUGUCAUCAUCGGCCCAGGAUCACUUACUACUUCCAUGUCUUGAAUAUCUAAGAAUAUGGCGGUGCGAAAGCUUGUCAGAGGUUCUCAACCUUCCCCCAUCCCUCAGGGAAAUACUUAUUCGUGAGUGUGGCAAACUCCAACUCCUAUCAGGCCAGCUGGAUGGACUCCGAACACUAGAUAUUUGGGGAUGCCCAGAGUUGAGAUCACUGGAAUCUUGCUUGGGAGAGUUUUCAACCCUGGAACGCCUCAGUCUGAAAGAUUGCAAAAGCCUGGCAUCCUUGCCCGAUGGGCCACAAGCAUACUCAUCUCUCCGUCAUCUUCAAAUUACAUCAUGUCCAGGUAUACAGUCGCUUCCUUCAUCCCUGAAGAAGAGACCGGACAACCUCAUUCGUAAAUAUUUGGAUGCUCGUUACGAAGGUACCCACCAAACUCAUUUGUCAUUUCACCAUAGUUUGAAUGCAUAAAUCUGCUCAUGCUUUCUAGAAAUAUAUAUACCAUUCGUCUUAAAGCAUCCAUGCAGUAGUUUGAAUGACGUGGUGUGAUUAUUUUUACAUUAGAGAAAGGUGCAGCACACGACCACAGAAUUUUGGUGCCUUGGUAUAAUCACGUCGAGUUGUAUUACUUAAAUUAUCCAUUUUGAAUUUCUGAAUAGAUAUGACUACUAAAGAAGCUGCUUAACGAGAAUGAUAUGUAAGGCAAAAUAGAUUAUCUUUGGUCCUCCACUUCUGUCUUCAGUUCAUCUUUAUUCUGUGAACUGCUACUAGUAUUUGCGUCUAUAGACUAUAGCUAGGUGUGAACUGUGCCCAGAAAUUAUUGACAAGGAAUAGUGGAAAGAACUCAGCAAUCACUAAAAAAGCAUGAAGAGUGUCCCACAUAGUUACUUUUCAUGCAGUUGUCGUGGUGGCUUGCUGGUUUCAGCACUUGCGCAAUACGAAAUUAAAAAAAAAACCAAGUGAUCCCUCCACACUUGGACAAUUAAGAACACGACUAUAGAUUGUUUUCAAUUUGCAUUGAACUGAUAUUUUUCUAUUUCCCUAAUGUUACACCCCAAAUAGAGAUGCCAAGUUGCCAACAAAGGUUUUUACUUGUCAAUUUAAUUGAAUUUUGUUGUCUAAAGGACAAAAUGCGGACUAAAUAAAAGGUCCCAGGAGCCUACUGUGUGGUACCAAUUAGAUUAAGUAUUUUAAUUCAUUUGCUUAUACUUCAAAAAAGUUUCAAUUGUUCAAAAAAUUUAGAUUAAGUAUUUCUAAUUCAUUUGCCAAUGAUACAGAUAAUGACCAGGAAGGAUAAACUCCUCGAGACCGAAGUUUUCAGGGGAAUACAAGAACAACUAUAUGGACGAGGUCACAAUUCCUGCGAGGGAGUUUUAUAAUGACCGAUCAAAUCUGAUGCACCCUAAGGAGUUGGUUUCGGAAUAAUAAAUACGAUAUGUGUAUGCACAAUAUGUCUAUAUAUGUGUAAUAUUAUUCAUAUAUGGGUAUACAUAAUACGUAUGAAUGAAGUACAAGCAAUAUAUAUAUAUAUUAGUAUCUCAAAUGUUAUAUUAAAGAUAAAUAUAUAUUAGCGUAUUAGAACUACUAUACGUAAAGGAAACAAAUAUGAAAUGAGAAUAUAGAAUAAACAAAUAGAAAAUAAGGAACAAGGAUGAAAAUAAGGUUUCGUUGAACUAAUUUUUAAUAUAAAAACUUAAGUAUACGGUACAAAUACUAAAAAUUAGUUUGCAAUAUAUAUAGCUCAUAAAACAUAAAAAUAGUGUAACAAAAAAAGUAAAAACAAUAACCAUUAUGAUCAUCUCAAAUAAAAAUAUAAUGCUUCGGUGCUUUGUAAAAAUCCGACUUCGGGCAUUUCUUGAUGUAAAAUCUUCAAGAAAGGUAUCAAGAUUAAUGUUGUUCAAAACAUCAUUCGCAAUGCUGCACGUAGCCAAGCCAUUCAAUCUUUUUUAUGACAUAGUUGAUCUAAAAUAAUAUUAAUUAGAUAAUUGCUUUUUAACAAAAUUGAUGUAGAAGAAAACAAAGAUGGAAGCGCUCGCCUUUGACGUGCUCGGUGCUCCAAGCGAUCAAGACGUGCUCCACUGCUUCAGAAGGCAGAAGCAGCGCUCGGCAAUCCAACCCUGAUGCCUUGACGGUCUGAUGCGGCGCUCGGCGCUCCAGAGUCCAAACGCUGAGACGCAGGGCUCGCCUGAUCGCCUCCUGCAUCCGCUAAGGCGCUGACCCGCGCGAUGAGGCAACGAUCAGAUCGGUGGCGGGCGGCGGCAUGGAGCCAGGACUCAGGGGCGUAUACGACGCAGGCAUACGGAGAGUCGGAGACACAGAGUCAGGGCGUCAGGCGUCAGGACGCAAUUUUGCAGGCCUAGCUCGCUCUGAUCGCGUGAUGCUCUGAUCGAAUCGGAAUCCGCGACGGCAUGGGCAAGCAUAUUUGGCAGCCCUGGCAAGCAAUUUGGUAGGCCCAAAUUAGCACGGAUGGAAGACAGGCAGCAGUUGCACGUGCCAUUUAAAAAGGUCGAAACAAAAUGCACCAAUCAAAUUAUAUAUACUAACUAUCUGUAUGGCUCCAUCGGCUUCGUGGGCCCCGGGCGGUCGCACGGCCUGCCCUCCCCUAGAGCCGGCCCUGCUGCCGACGAUGCCCAGCGGCGGGCGCUCACGACGGCCCAGACCGUCCUCGCCGCAGACGGACGCGUUCUUCGGCAAGGCUCGGCGACGAUACAGCAGCAGGUAGGCUGCCGGCGACCUCCGCCAUGUGGCUCCCGAGGUCGGAGACGACCGAGUCAGAUGUGCGUACAGGCGCUUCCUCUGCUUGGUGUCCCGGCUCGCCGGAGCGCCGCCUCGUUCCAGGCGCUGCCCGCCUACAUGUCCUUGCUCCCAGAACGACCAACGAUCGCGCUACGCGCGCCGAUGAGGCGAUGAACGGAUUGCACAGAGCCCCCCUUAUUGGUUCGGCUUCUCCUCCCUGGCGCUGGCCGCUGCCGUCAUCGCUGUGCUCCGUCCCGGCGGGGGAUUGCGAGGCCCAUCACGAAUCUCGAAUAUUGGAAGGUUAAAAAAAAAGUCUUGCGAAAGAGCUGCGGCCCACCUCGAGGUUUCCAGCCAAGCCAGCCCAAUGUAGAGAAGCCCAUCAGUUUAUUUCCAGCCGGCCGGCCCAGCAAUUCCAAACAUCAGCAGGGACAGAAAGAGAUGAUUUGUCCACCAACCAGUGGACUUGACUUGCUAGAUCAACCGAAUCUGACCUGACCUGCUGAUCAAAGUGAUGGAUGGAUGGAGCUACCGAUCCACCCACCCACUACUACUACGUAGCCAACCCUUCCUUUCUCGUCUACCCGGCCUGCCAUCAUUCUUUUUCCGGCGAUAUAUAUCACAGCACACGUAGUCCUCGUUCUUCCUCAUCGCUCGUCGUCACCACACGUGUAGGUCCAGCGCAUGCAGCCGGAUUGUUGAUCCAUUAUUCCACUGUACGGUAUUAAUGGCUGCCGAGCUCGCAAGGUCGUCGUCGACCCUCGUCGCCCUCGUCAGAGCGGCGGCGUUAUGGGCGUCCUUCGCGCUUCUGCCGAUCGGCGGACAUGGCAGCCGACACCGCCACGCAGCCGGCGUCGUCGUCGUCGGCGGCGGCGGCGCUGCCGACCGCGGCAGCUACAGGCAAGUAACGUGUCGCCGCGCCGCUGCGUCUAGACAUCUAGUGUUCACCGAUGACGACUAAAAUGUGGUGCCUACAUGCAUGCAGGUACGCCGGCGCCGACGGUGGACUCACCCGCAGCAGUCCCGACGUCCACUGUCGUCACUGCCACACCCGCCGCGGCGGCGCUGCUACCAUCCUCCUCCUCACCGCCUGCGACACCCGCGGCGUCUUCCGCCACCGCCACCACCGCCGCGGACACGGCGUCGAAGAAGUUUCCGCUGCCUCACCCCGGUGGCGGCGAGCCGUACAAUCCCGCGGCGGAGGUGGCGUCGGCGCUGCCGGUGCCGACGCCCGACGAGCUGCCCAGCGCGUCCAGCCUCGGGUUCGACGGCCACGGCCUCGGGUUCGGCGGGCCCGGCGACGUGUGCUGCGGCGGCGGCGGGUACGGCUGGUUCGGCGGGCCCGGCGGGUACGGCCCCGGAACGUACGGGUACACCGGCCCGCUCUACUGGGGGGCGGCGCCGGCGGGAGGGUGGGGGAGCGUGGCCGCGGCCAACGUCGUGGUGCCGCUCGUCGUGGCUUGCGUCUCUGCAGCCCUCGCUUAUUAGCAUGCAUGCAGUAUAUAAAUUACUUGUAAUUUUUACAGGGGAAUUAUUAAGGUUACUCUACAUGUUUACCGCGCCUUUGCGCGAGCAUAUAAUUUUCCUUGUACACGUUUGCACUUAUGCUAACCACAAUAAUAAUAUGAAGUGGGUACUGUGGUUAAAUUUGAGAUAUGAAUCAUACUAAGGGUCAGUUUGGUGUAGCUCCGUGGGACUCCGACUCCUCCUGACAUUUUCUUGCAGCAUCACUAUAGUAUAGCACAGAGCUUCUUUUCUUCCUCCUCUCCCUCCCUCUCAUAGGACUCCUCCAGCUGCGCGCUACAGGAGCUGAAGCCCAUAAGCCCGGUCAAAGCCGGUCAAACAAGGCCUAAAUUGAGCUCUAAUCUGGCAGCGUGUUUAUUUUUAUUUUUUAUUUGGCUUCCACUCUUGACACCACACGGGUCCAACCUUGUAGUAGAAUUCAAGAAGGCUGCGACAGUGCAUGUCAUAGAGAAGGACAUCAGUGUUUCUGUUUUAAUUACUUUGGACGGAAACACUACUACUACAUUUACGAGAACAUGAUAAUCAUUGCAAUUGCCAGAUUCCUCCAUCUUGUUUUACAUAAUUUCCCGAUACAUCCUAUGCCUAUCUAUUUUUUAUGCACGAUCAACUUUUAAUUUCCCCUGGCAAGCAACUUUUGGAUUCUGCAAUGCCCGUGGUGGCUUGUGCUGAAUAAUUUUUAAAGCACGGGAUGUGUAUCUUCUGAUCUGAUGCGUCAAUACUAGCUUUUUGUACGUAGUUGGAACGUAGUGGAUUAGAUUAUUCUCUUCCUAUCUCAUCCAGGCCUAGCACAAAAAAGAAGAAUGGCAAGACUCAGACUACUGCUGAAUAAUGCAUACGGUGUAUUCUAUGGUAUAUAUAGGGAUGUAAGCUAGCAGAGUCAUGUACACAAGCUCCUUGUGGGCCAGGAAACACCGUGCAUCCCACUCAAUGAAAGUGGGCCAGGGAUCUCUCUCUCUCUCUCUCUCUCUCUCUCUCUCUCUCAUGUUGUUCUUAUACAUAUUUAUUCACAAGUUCAACAUCUAAGUUCUCAAUCCUAAUAAAUGAAACUACAAUGGAAAAAUAGAAACUAUAUAUGCAGGGUUCCUUCUGAAUUUGCUAAAAGAGAGGUUGGUGUGUGAUUGAAAUCAGUAAUACUGACUUAACGCUAGAGGUGCUAAGGCACGAUCACGAAAAAAAACUUAACGGUAGAGGUGCUCUACCGACCGGCAACAUAUGCCGAUUUGGUAUUAUCUCAUGAGGUCACGAAUGCUAGAGGAAUUCAAAUAUAGGCAUGUGAGCAUUUACCAUGUAAGUUCAAACUAAAAUAAUUAAUGAUGGACCGAUUGAGAUUUUUCACACCAACAAUAAAAAACAAACGCAAAAUGGAAUCAUUGAUUUUACAAAUUGGUGUAGGAGUACGUAUGUUAGAGAUUUGUCAGUUGUAGGAAAAACAAUUGGGAAGUCCACGCUUAACGCAGAAAACGGGCCCAAUCUUCUAUUUUACACGAACCAUCAAAACUGUGGCUCAGCUCCACGAUUUCGUUUCACAGAAUUUCCCGAUACUUCCCAUGCCUAUCUAUUUCAUCUAUGAUCAAUAAUGCAACUUAAUUUUCAUGUCAAGCAGCUUUUGCAAUUUGGAUUCUAUGAGUCCGUCCUGGCUGGUACGGUGGUGCCUUGUGCUGAUUUUAGGCACGCUGUUGCAUGAUGCAUCUUCUGAUGUAGGGCAGGAUUCUAUAUAUGACUCAACUGCUGAAAAAUGCCUAUGGUGUACAUACAGUGGUAUAUACAGGGAUAUAGAAUAGUGCUUUAAAUUUAGAGUAUUGUGUAGUACAAGAUCCUUGUGAUAGGGUUGGAAAGCACUAGAUGGGAUGCACCUACUACUUGCUACUGCAUGGCACACCGUUAAUUUUUUUUUUGAAAGGAAAAGGGCACGAGAGUGUGCCUAUUUCAUUAAUAUAGGGGGGUUACAACCGGCGGACCGGGAAAAAGACGGGAAAGAGAGGAAAAGGAAAAAAGACGGGGAGGCAUCCAGAGAGUUGUGUUUACGAAAGAAGGGCCGCUAGGCCUCUCGCUCCCGCUGCUAGCCACAUGUUAGCUGUGGAUUUGAUUUUUGCCAUUAGUGAUGUCGUCGGGGAACCCUGGUGGCGGAAGAUUCGGGAGUUUUGCUCAUUCCAUAUUUCCCACAGGGUUAGGCUUCUGCUCGCUUUAUACGGGAUCCCUGUUGUUGAUGUGAUAUUGGUCCACCAAUCGAUGGCCCUUAUGCUGUGCUUCCAUUGAUCCGGUUGCAGGCUUUCAUGUGAUAACCGUUGGGCUACGAGCUUCCAAAUUUGCUUCGUAUAUCUGCAUUCGGCUAGGAGAUGAUGCGCAGUCUCCAUCGUGCAACGGCAUAGGGUGCAUGUUGGGGUGUGGUCCCAGCCCCGUUUUGCUAGUCUGUCCGAAGUCCAGACCCUAUUUUGGAGAAUUAGCCAGGCAAAAACUUUGCAUUUUGCCGGUGCCCAGGCUUGCCACACUGUUGCAAGGUUAGUCGUCUUGACGCUACCUAGGAGUUGAGCCUUGUAUGCUGAAGUUGUGGUGUACUGAUCGCUCUAGGUGAAUUUCCAUGUAAUUCCGUCCUCCUGGCUCGGAUUUAGUUGGCACUGUUGGAUCAGAGGCCAUAGGGUUACGAAUUCGUUCAAGAGGAUGUUUGUAAAGCCUGUUGUGUGUUGUAGAUCUCUGAUCCAGUUGUUGUUGUGGAAUGCCUCCCGCAUUGUCUUCUUUUUCCUUUUGGUUUUCGCGUAGAGUUGUGGAGCGAUGUCCUUUGGUCGCCAGCCUGCUACCCACGCAUCCUGCCAGAAACGUGUCUUGUCCCCAUUGCCGAUUUGGAUCGUCGUACAUGCAGCGAAAAGUAGUCUAUCCUGGUCGUCGCAUGGUGUUUCGGUUCCGACCCACGUCUUGUCUGGGGAAGCCCAUUCAUGCCAUAACCAUCUAAGGCGGAGCGCUCUUGCGAAUUUAUGAAGGUCUAGAAUUCCAACGCUGCCAUGCUCUUUCGGUAAAGUUGUCCUCGUCCAGUUGAUUUUGCAUUUGCCCCCGGUGAGUUCGUUGUCUCCCGCCCAUAGGAAGCGUUUUCUUAUUUUGUCGAUGUCCUCUAGUACUUCUUUGGGCGUUCUGAGGGCCGUUAGGGUGUAGACAGGUUGUGAGGAUAGGACGGACUUGGUGAGGCAUAAUCGGCCGGCCUGCGUGAGGUUUCUUCCCUUCCACUUUGAUAGUUUGCUCGCCACUUUGUCGAUCAGUGGCUGGAAAUCUAUGCGGCGUAGUCGUUCGACCGUUAGAGGGAGGCCCAGGUAUUUUAUCGGGAAAUUCCUCUGCGCUACUGGAAGGUUACGGAGCACUUCCUGAAAGUUAGCGUGAGAGCAGCUUAUCGGUGUGACGCUAGUUUUUUGGAUGUUCGUUCUGAGACCUGUCGCUUCCCCGAAAUUUUGUAGGAGGUUCUUCAAGUUUGUGAUGUCACGUGUAGAAGGCUUAAUGAAAAUCACCGCGUCAUUAGCAUACAUGGAUGUUCUCAUUCUUGAUGCACGGUUAUUUAGUUUUUGAAGUAGUCUCUUUUCCGUGGCGGCCGAUAGUAGAUACUGCAGUGGGUCGAUCGCUAGGAUGAAAAGUAGCGGUGAGAGGGGGUCGCCUUGUCGGAGUCCUCUCCCAUGUUGUAUGUGUUCCAGCGGGAAUCCAUUGAGUAAAAUUCGUGAUGUUGACGUGGUGAGGAUGGCCGCGAUCCAUUCUCUCCAUUUUGGUGGGAAUCCUCUGUGUUGCAUCAUGGUGAGUAGGUAGUCCCAUCGUACUGAGUCGAAAGCCUUGGAUAUAUCGAGCUUCAUAAGCAGGGUCGGUUGAUUGUGUAUGUGGAAUCGGCGUGCCAGGUUUUGGACGUAAAGGAAGUUAUCGUGAAUGCUUCGUCCCUUGAUGAAAGCACUUUGGCAAGGUGAGACUAGUUGGUUCAUGAAAGGAGCUAGGCGCAGGGCUAAGGUCUUUGUUAUGAUCUUCGCAAUGGCGUGGAUCAGGCUAAUGGGUCUGUAAUCUGCGAUGCUCUCCGCCCCUUCCUUUUUGGGUAUUAGAAUGAUUGUGGCUUUAUUCAGAAGGUUUAGAUCUGCACAGCGAGAGUUGAAGAAGGAAGAUAUUGCCGUCAUGAGGUCACCUUUGAUGGUCUCCCAACAGGUGGUGAAGAAGAGUCCUGUAUAGCCGUCUGGUCCGGGCGCUUUGUUUUUUGGCAUCUGUGAGACGGCCCGCCGGACCUCGUCUUCUGUGAACGGGUUAUCAAGCGUAGACAGAUCGACGGUCGGGAAAGUUAGAGCUGACCAGUUUAGGUCAAGCGUCCUGCGUGGCGGUUCCUGCAUAACCUUUUGGAAAUGGUCUUGUACGAUCUGUUGUUUGUCGUUAUGGGUAAAGACCCAGCCAUUGUCCUGACGUAGCUUUUGAAUGAAGUUUUUCCUCCUCCUGCCGUUUGCUUUAAGAUGGAAAAAUCUUGUGUUGGCAUCUCCUUCUUUUAGGUACGUGACUCUGGAGCAUUGCUUUUUCCUAGCUCUCUCUAUGACGGCCCAACCCAUGAGUCUCUGCUUCAGUUUGCCCCGUAGCUGCGUUUCCGCCGUAGAUAGUGCUCGGGUAUCCUGUGCCUUAUCUAGAUGUAGUAUCACCUCCUGAGCCAUGUGCAUCUUCAUUCUUGCGUCUGAUAGUAUUGAUCUGCUCCAGCGUUUUAACGCCUGCGACGUCACAUAAAGUUUAUGGCCCAACCUGUGGAAAGGCUCCGUAUGGUGUGUCGGUGUAUUCCAAGCCGUGGAGACUACCUGCUGGAAAUUUGGCAAUCGUACCCAGAAGUUUUUGAAUUUGAAAGUUGUAGGGCGGCGUAGGGUGGCAUGGCUGGUUAGUAGCAGAGGACAGUGGUCGGAGUGGGAUGAUGAUAACGCGUGUAGUAGGCAAUUAUCGAAUCGGAGGUCCCAGCUUUCGUUGCAGAAAACUCUGUCGAGACGGACGAGCGUUGGUGUCCUACGUUCAUUGCUCCAUGUGAAUCUUCUAUUUUGCAGGUUUAAUUCCUUUAAGCCGCAGUAAUUGAUGGUGUUUCUGAAACUGUUCAUAAGCCGCCGGUUGAGGUUCAUAUUGUUUUUAUCUCUUGCGCGGUAGAUUAAAUUGAAGUCCCCUAGGAUUAUCCAUUUGGUGUCGUCAGAUGGUUUUAGUGACCGCAUGUGUCUUAGGAAGGCUUCUUUUUCGAGUCGUCGCGCCGGGCCGUAUACCGUGGUCAUGCAAUGCCGAACUGUGAUCUCUGCCGAUAUGGAAUAUCUGCCAAUUUUUAUGUUUUGAAUUUGUACCGCCGUGUCAUUCCAUAGUAGGAGGAUCCCUCCUUUCGUGCCUAUCGCCAGUUUAUAUGCGAAGCUGUUUAAUUUGUAGGCGCCCAGAAAGGUGGCCAGGCUAGAGUCGAUGGAUUGUAGUUUAGUUUCUUGCAGGUAUGCAAUUUGGCACGGUAUCGAUCUCAUCAUAUUGUGUACGGAUAGGCAGCGUGCUGGCGCGUUUAGUCCUCGGACGUUCCACGAUAAAAUAUCUAGGUUGCCGUAUGUCAUAAUGCAGUGUUUAUGCUCAUGUGGUGUACGUCGCUGCGGUGAUUUGAUCGAUUUAAAUCGUCGGUGGUUAUGUAUAAGGCUCUGUUGGCGGUUGUUGUUGUUGUUAGGCGUGGCGUUAAAACGACGCGGGCAGCAGGCCCCCCUAGUUGUACGGCAGUUUGCAGGUUCGUGAUACAUAGGAUUGCCCGAAGGUCGAAGCCAGCAGGGCGUGGAAGGAUAAAAGCCCGAAGGUCGCAGCCAGCAGGGCUUUGCAGUACAGGUGGUGAUACAAACAAAAGAACGAAAGACAUGUAGUGACGGUAGACGCUCGAAGAUGUUGUCGCCGGUCUAAGCUGUGGGGUCCCCAUUAAUCAGCUGUAGCUCCGCCGCGGCCGUGCCUGCGUGGUUUAUGAGUGCUUCGCCUAUCAUGUCCGCACCUUCGUCGUCCAGUCCAAAGAUAGCUAUCAGGGCUGCCACUAUGCUCUCCGGGAGUGGUCCCUGGAACAUUGACAGGAAGUUGCGAAGGACCUCGUCAAUUGGAGUCAUCUUUUCGUUGGUUAGUCCCAGCUUUCUGCAUAAAUUUCUUUGCACCUUCUCGGUCACCGGCAUGGAUGGCUUCCUUGCAAGCCGCGCACUUCUCCGGACUGCCGUCAUGUCGAAAGUGCGGCGUUGACGUUGGCGACGCAGCCCCAGCUCCUGGAUCAACGGUGGAGGUGGAUUGCAGAAGAGAGAAUUAAUCUCUCUCAGAUCCUGCUCUCCCUCCCUCUGCCUGUUCGGUGGGCUCCCUUGGAUGUUCUGUGCAAUGAAGCCCAUGGCAUUGGGCCUAUCUUGGCGAGCUGUCCCCCCUACAGAAGUGGCCGCAUGGGCCGAGGACCCGACAGCGGGCGGCGAGAGUGGCCCAUGUACCGUCGGGCCAUCUUGUGGCGCCAUCCGGGCCGGCGUCGUCGGCGACCUGCCCGGUGUGGUGGAGCGGCCCACCGAGGGCCCCCCCCCACAGUCGGGCCCCCAGCGAAGGCAGCGCCCAGACCAGGCGAAGUGGGCCGGUGGCCCAGCUGUGGAGUCAUCUGUGCCGUUGGCUUAGAGGCCAGUGGCCCUUUCUCCAAGCCGGUGUCGCGGCCCACUGUGAACGUGGCCUGCUUGAUGCCGACGGUCAUGGCGUCGAGUGCCCGUUCGACGUCCGCCACCGUCGGCGAUGGCGGCGCCGGGAGGAGUGCCGCCCGCAGGGUGCUGAAGACUUGGGGCAGCGGGAUGGUUGCGGACCAGGCUUUUUCCCCGAAGGAUUCGUCGUCGAAGCCGAGGCAGUCGGCGAGCCCGGAGAUCUUGCGUGUGUAGUCGUCGGCGUCGAGUCCCCUGUUUCUGGCUUCCAGAGCAAAAACGUUAGUUGGUGCCGUUACCUGGUUGUGCUUCAUCAUCGCAGUCGCCUGAGCCUGGAACAGAGCUCGGAGUUGGGACGGGUUGUAGAUGCUCUGCUCCUGUGCGUCCAGGGCGUGGUGUCGUCCUUGCGGCGGCGCGUAGUUGCGGCGGGGCGGUGACCUGGUGCGGUCGCGGCGCCCUUUAUCCGCGCAGCCCCAGUAGGCGUCGCCGUAUUUGCGCCCGUGCCCUGGGUGGUUGUAGUCGCGGUGCUCGUCGUCGUCGUCCCCGCGCCGAGGCGGCCAGAUGAAGUCCCGUUUGCAGGUCAUUUGGUCCGCCCGGUGCUUAGUGCGGCUCCUGUCGACUUGGCGAGCGUGUCGUCCCCGCUCGUGCCCGCCGACAGCCGCGUCACCUUCGCCGGAGGCUCCGCGCCCGUCGCCAGCGACACUAGAGGCACCAUUCCUCCCAUGUCGCUGGUCAUCCGUCCUUCUGUCGCCGUGGUCGUCGUGGUCCCGUGGUUCAGGCUCCCGCGGCAGUCGCGGCAGCCUAGCCGGGAAACGUGAUCUCGCGUCCGGUGGGGUGCCAUCAACCAGACCAUAUCGCCAUUCAUACCGGUGACGAAUCGGAGUAAUGUUCUCCGGGUCGUUGAUGGCUUGCUGUAGAUUGCGCGCCGCCGCCGUGUAGUCCUCCAGGAGGGGCAUAUGGAUGAAUACCUCAUAGCGGGCUCCUUGCUGCCAAGAUGUUAGGGGAGGUUCGGCCGAAACAGAGAAGAUGGAGGAUUUGGUCGCCGGGCUGUGGACGAAGGCGAGCCAUACCUUCUUCGGGAUCUCGCUCGGGUCGACCGUCCACGCCCAGAGCUCGAUGUGUCUGGAGUCCGCCGGCUGGACGAGGUCGGUGACGAUGUGCUGCAGUGCACACUUGUGGCCGAUGACGCACUCGACGAUUUCCGGCGUCCAGGCAUGGCUCGGGAUGCCAUCGAGGCAGAGCCGCACCCUGUAGAAGAUGCGGAAGCCGAGGGCGUGGGUGAGGCUGCGCCAUGGCCUGAGGCAGAUGUCGAUGCCUCCACUGGUAAGGGUCCACGGCGCCGUGCCUCUGCCGCCUGUGUCGCACUGUCGAAGCGGAUGAGGUACGGUUCCGGCUGGUGGAGCGUGACGUUGACUUCGCCGUGGCGCAGGUGGAGCUCCCUGCUGAUGAGCCCCGCAAUGUCCCGGGCUCCGGCACCUGGCAGCACUUCCGCCGACAAGCCGCAAGAACACCAACAACAUGGCCAUUGGCGACCCCCACACGCGCCCGGAGGUCGAGACGAUCUUCGUCUCCGAUUCCUUCCACCUCAUGCAUGACGCGAGGGAAUGGGAGGCCUGUGCCCUCGCACACCGUUAAAUGAAAGUGGGCCUGAAAACAUCUGUUGAUAAUGUAGCACAUUAAUCGAGCAGCCACACGGCGGCUGGGUCCUCUCCUAGAGCAUCCUCACCAUAUGUUCAAUCUCCAACUGGUUCUUCGUGUCCUCCUCAGCGCGAUUGUUUGCAUUUUACAGAAUUCUUGAUACCGCCUAUGCCUAUCUGUUUCUUCCUAGCUAGCACAACACGGAUGACAAGACUUUCACUGCUGAACAAUGCCUCAUGGUGGUAUACCUACCGUACCGUAGUGUAUAUAGGGAUGUAGAGCAGUCCUUUUCUAUGCAUAUGCUCCGGUCGAAUAUAUAUAUUUCAGACAAGAAAGUAAGAACAAAAUAAACUAACUUUCCCUUUCUGAACGUGAAAUAAAAACGAACGGAGGUAGUAUAUACUGCUAGCUAUUUAUGGUUGGGAUUUUGGAUUGUUCUCUUUUCUUUCUCUUGCUUACCCAGGCCUAGCACAGGAAGAAUGGCAUGACUCAACUGCUGAACAGUGCCUAUGGUAGUAGAGCAGUGCUGUAGGAGCUCCUUGUCAGGCCAGCAAAUAAACAUCAUCUGUUGGCCAUUCAUCAGGAUUGCAACUCGUUGACACUUGACAUGUAGACGAGAUUAUCUGAAAUGUACCUUGAUCAUUCAAUAUGGGAGGGAAACAUAAGAUUUUAGUAAUGAAUGGCCAACUCUUAAUUUUUCUAGUUUCUACGUGUGUCUCAACUCUAUGGAGUAAAACCCAAAGAUCACAGACCUCAGACCAAAUCUGACAAUUUAUUGAAUACUUGAAUUGCUGAUUCAUAUUAUUGCUCAAUUGCUAAAACAAUUACUGUUUGUGCUUCUCACAUCUUUCAUCACUAAGUAUCUCAUGUUUACAGAAGGCUUCUCAUGGGUCAGGACUCGAUCAGUUACAAAUUCAUAGCAUUCUCCGAUCCAUCCUUUAGUUUUGAUAAUCGACACAUUAUUAAGACCACUUCUUACUCACUAGUUUUGCUCAGAAUGACCAUCAGAACAAAUAUCAAGGCUCAAAUGGAAGUUUCAGAAAAUUCAGAUCUAAAUCUAUGGGCCUGACUCACCCAUCUCAGCAAGAACGUUUCGAGAUGGAUUGACAGCUCCUAGCCAUACCGAAUUCAAGGGGAGAAGCUCUAGCUAGAGCAUAGGAAAUCAAUCAAUCCAAACGAAGGUCGUGCUUUCCAUUACUAGCAUCGAGAAAGGGGAAGGCAAAAUCGACCAUUGGGUUCCAAUUCCGCUCGACGCCAGCCCAGCAGAAGGAGAGCACAGGGACGAGGACGCGAGGGCGGCUGCGAUGUCGAGGGGAACCCCGAGGACGGCUGCGAAAAUCUAUUCCAUUUCCAUCUUGUUGUAACUCUGUUUUACAGAAGUUCUUGAUACCUCCUAUGCCUAUCUGUUGCUACCAUGCAUCAACUUCAUUUUCCAUGCGAAGCAACUUUUGGAUUCUAUGCAUCUCUUAUAUGAUGCGCAGCCACACAAUAACAAUCUAGCUAGGGCCUUCAUCUAAAAAACAACAAUAGGUGUAAAAGAAAUGAACUGUAUAUGAAUGGAAAUAAACUAGAACAACAAGAAUGACAAGACUCUAACUGCUCAUAACGAUGCCUCUGGUGUACUACGGUGCUAGUAUAUAUAGGGAUGUAGAGCAGUACAGCUUUUGAGUGCUAGCUGUACAAGCUCCUUGUGAGGCAAAUCACUGGAUGUAUGCACCAUUCAAUGAAAGUGGGCCAGCAAACAACUACUGAUAAUGUAGCACAUUAUUAGUAGAGAGGGGAUCUCUGAGGUCAAGAAUAUUAGAGUAAUUCGCAUAUGUGAACAUUCACCAUAUAUGUAAGUGUAAACUGAAAUGACAGACAGAUUUGAGAUUUUGCACACAGUAACAAUGACGAAAACAAACUCGGAAUAACAUGAAUAGGCGUUACCUCGAGGCCUACUAGCACGAGAACACUACUGGAAAAGUGACUAUUACUACUGGGUACCUUGUGUGUUGUGUAAUGAUGAACCUCUAUGCAUGCUAUGCUAUGUGUAGUUGACUUGUGCUUAUGGGAUGUGUUGAAAUCCUUGCUACUACUCAUGACACAUCUCACGUACUACCCGAUUUAGUUUUACUUAAUGGAGUUGAUCAGUAGAUGAUAACAUAAUUAACUGGAAUUAAUUUGGAUGGUUUUUCAUAUAUUCGCUACAUUCUUUGAUACACCGGGACGUACGGAACACACGGAGGCUCCCUUGCCCAAGAGUUACAGCUAGAAAUGUGACAAGUCUGUUUUACAGAAGUUCUUGAUACCUCAUAUGCCUAUCUAUUUCCAUCAGCUUCAUUUUCCAUGCGAAGCAACUUUUGGAUUCUAUGCAUAUGCUCCACACGAUUAUAAUCUAGCUAGCCUUCAUAAAAAAAACAACAAUAGCUGUAAAAAAUAAAAUUUACUUGUACUACUUCCUCGGUCCCAAAAUUAUUAGUCGUUUUGGCUUUUCUGGAUUUAUAGAUUUUGCUAUUUGUGAUCGGAACAUAGCAUUAUUCACUUUUCUUUCUCUUGCUUACCCAGAUCUAGAACAGGAACUCAAGAAGAAUGACAUGACUCAACUGCUGAACAAGAGUACUUUAGGAGCUCCUUGUCAGGCCAGCAAAGCACUGGAUUCAAUGAAAGUGGGCCAGGAAAUAAACAUCUGUUGGCCAUUCAUCAGGAUUGCAACUUGUUGACACUUGACAUGUAGAUGAGAUUAUCUGAAAUGUAUCUUGAUCAUUCAAUAUGGGAGGGAAACAUAAGAUUUUAGUAAUGAAUGGCCAACUCUUAAUUUUUCUAGUCUCUACGUGUGUCUCAACUCUAAGGAGUAAAAGCCAAAGAUCACAGACCUCAGAACAAAUCUGACAAUUUAUUGAAUACUUGAAUUGCUGAUUCAUAUUAUUGCUCAAUUGCUAAAACAAUUACUGUUUCCGCUUCUCACAGCUUUCAUCAGCAAGUGUCUCAUGUUUACAAAAAGGCUUCUCAUGGGCCAGGACUCGAUCAGUUACGAAUUCAUAGCAUUCUCCAAUCCAUCCUUUAGUUUUGAUAAUCGACACAUUAUUAAGACCACUUCUUGCUCAGUAGUUUUGAUACGGUUAAGUCUGUACCGCCAAAUCCAUCCAUGACAGCCUUCGCGGAGGGAAAUUCUGCUCUGGCAGUAAAGCUGGGAGACACAGAUUUUUAGUAAGAUAACAUGAACCCGAAUCAUGGUUGAAAUAAGCCAUGUACAUGAGAGGCAAAGGCAGUUUACCUGCUUCGAACAACUACGCAUGGCAUGCCAAUGCGCUCUGCUGCAAGGACACCAGGUUGGCUGCCCGCAACAAGAAUGCAGUUUCGUACGUCGCAUCCAACGUAUUCAGACCCAGCUCGCAGAGCCGCUAUUACCUUCUCAGAGCUGACAAUGGUGACUAGGCAGUGAAAUUUAGAUAAUAUUCUAGGCAAUGAAAAUCAGAUAAUAUUCUUCCAGGGAGGUACAGUGUUAGAAAUAACCUUUCAGACACUGUGAUGUCAACGCUAAGCUUUAGGAUCGAUGCAACCUCUUCUGCAAUCCUCUGCUUCUCUGCGGAAGCUGUUGCAACAGAACAUUUGGAAUUAACUUCAAAUGGUCCUUGAACUGAAACAAAAAUGAACGAGGCUGCAAUUUUUUCAUUCAGCAAUACUUACCAGCCUUUUGGGCUUCCCUGAUAAGUUGCUCAUCCAAACUGGAUGUGACUCCUUUACCAAGAACAAGUUGCCCGUAGAAGCUUCCUUCAACCUCAUCUUUUCCAACAAUCUUUAUUUUUGAUGUUCUUUCAGGACCCAACUUUUUAACUAUGGAUCUAGAGUCAAAUAGAAAAGGAAUGAGAACAAAAUAUCUUGACAAAUUACAGCAUUUCCAUCAAUUAGUUUGAGAUAAAUAACAAGAGUAGACAGUAGAUAUUUUUUUAUACAAACUGUACCUUGAAAUAUUUUCUCCAUUCCUCCCAUAUGCAGCCAAUAUGGCGACAGGGAUACCCUGACUAAGUGCAUCAUCAAUGAACCUUCGAAUGAUUUCAUACACAGAAUCAGACACAUGGCAACUUAAAGUUCAAGAUAGAGUCAUUCAUAUCCUAUGGCAAGCGCAGAGUAUUUAAGAGAGGCAAACGCUGUUCAGAAAAAUACAUAAGAUCAAAAUAAGGACAAAAAUAAUUUGCUUAUAAAUGCUCAUGAAUUGAUGAAAUCAAAGCAUGCAGCAUGUGUAUCAGAACACACAGAAACUUUUAUUUGAAAUGCUAUGACUUCUGUUCCUUCUUUUAGAUAUCAACAAAUGGCCCACAUGAUCACUUAGUUAAAUGGUCCUGUAAUUCUUGCAAAAGUUUAAGGAUGAGAAAAAUGAACGACAGUGCAUACGUCUAUAGAGACUGCUUAUUACAAUUUACAAGUAAUUGACUGGUGUCUGCAGCUCAGGCAGGGUAUAUGGACAAGCAACAUUCUAAGGGCCUCAACUCCUUGUUCAUGCUGAUAGCAUGGAAAAUCAGGAAGGCUCGCAUCUUCCAAAGCAAAGAACGCAACAGUCGCUCAAGUAGUCUGUGAUAUUGGUGAGGUGAUCAGGCUAUAGGCCCAAGACAGAGCAAAAAGACAUGGUGAACUCAGCUCUGCUGUAGUUCCCACAUCAGGAGAUGCUAUUUCAGUCUAGAUCACAACUACUCUUCUUUUCCGGUAGUUCUUUUCUUAGCAUAAGUCAGUAGUUUGAACCAUGUGCCAGUGAGCGCUUCGGCGGAUCAUGUUGUAACAAUUUUUAUUCUGCUUCCCUUAAUGAAAAAGAUAUGCAGCUCUCUUGCGUAUUCUCGAAAAAAAGAAAGAUUGAAGUCUUACGUUUCAACUCCAGGCCGCAGUGGUAAGCUACCAGAAGCUGAGAAUUCUUCCAAAGCUUUCAACUAGAACAAGAGAAUGAUGCUCAAAGAAGUCAAUAUAACAAUAUUUAUAAUGAAAAUGGGUGAAAGAGAAGGAACACUAGUCCAUUUUGAUAUCAAAUUCAAGAUCCUGAUUAAUCAGGUUGAUUGAAAUCAGGUUCAAACUUAGAAAUUAGUGCCAGGAAAUGGUGGAUAAAAACUAGCGCAUAGAACAGGAAUUAAGCGAAGUAACCCUGCUUUCAGGUUAUAUCCAAACAUUCUGUUUUCUAACUGCCAGCCAGCUGCACUGGAUAAAAAUUAGUUUGUUCUCCAUUCCUUAGUAGAAUCAUACAUGGAUAAUAUGCACAAAAGAAAUUGAGAUCCUUGGCUGAAUGCAAUUGGCAUAUAUAAAAGUUAGGUGAAAUCAGGAGUCCAGUGAUGAGGAAAAGGAUCAGAAAACACUACCAGCAAGGUACAACUCAAGCUAACUUCUGUCAAGGCCUGAUAUAUCAUAAAGUGGCCAGGUAAUGCUUGAUAUGCUUACCUUUUCACGAAGAACACUUUUCAUAAAUGAUCCUUUCUCACUAGUCGGCAAAGAUGUAGGCCAGCCAAUCUGUGUCAAGUCAGAGGAAGGGGUUAAAUUCCAAAAAUGAAAUGCAUCAGCAGAUGCAAUUACUCAGAUCCACAAAGCUAUAUUACACAACAAGUAUUUUGUCACAUGGGAGGAACAAUUAUUUUUAAAUGAAAUUUGGCUACAAGCUACAGAAAUUGAAAGAAUUCGCUUAGAUGUUCUGUUUUCCCCCAAUGUCUUUAAGCAAAUGUAGCUGACUUGCGAUGUAGUGUAGCCAGAUUUGCUAAUUCCUACAAGACCAAAAAGCAUACUAGGGGAAGAAAUAGACCAUACCCUGUCAAAGAAUAAUGCCAGCAUCCUUUCCUCAUCACCACGAGCUUUCCUAGAAAACAAUGUAGCUUUAGGAAAAUAAUAAUCAACAUAAAGAGAAAAGGAAACACCUCCGUCCAGUCCAGUCCAAACUAAGAGGUUAGACAAAAGGGGACAACACAGCAAGGGAACACAAUCCAAUCUGUAAUGCCAAGAGCUAACCCAGUGUUGAAGGAGAGGCAGGACAUGUGAUUGACGACGCUAGAGAACUUAAUACGCACCUGACCAAAUCAGUAUAUAUUGGCUCUGUCCAAUUUGCACAAUCUAGCCCGAGACUUUGAAACGCUGGUGGAAUAAAAUAUUAAUAUGUAUUAGAAUCAAGACAGGCAAGAACUAUGCACAAUUGUGCAGCUAGACUUCUAUUCUGCUAGAUCCCUUCAUUGUUUAUCUACUUUAUUUGCUAUUUUGUAUUUCAACCUCAGCAUGGCAUGGCAUAGAUUAAAGAAAAAUAAAGUGCUACAAAGAGUAAUAGAACUUGAUAAGGACAUGAAGCAUAGAAAGAUUUAUAUGUCUCGCACCUACAUUGAAAGCCUGACGAUUGCCGAAACGGUAGACAUCUGCAAGAACUCUGCGGAACAGAAACAUGAAAUGCUCAAUCAGAAACAGUAAUUCUUCUGAUAUCAGCAAUGCAAAGGAAAGCAAGAAAAGGCAUCACUAUUCACUACUCCGUAAUAGGCUAAUAGCUCAAAAGAAAACUCAGUAGUAUUUGUUCAACAACAAAGCAUGGUUCAGCUAGAUCGAUACAAAAUGGAGAAUGGAUUCUCACAGAAAUAAUCAGAUACAAAAUUACUUAAUUGUGGCACUUGUCUCAGCGAAUUAUCUGAGGACACGUUACUCUCACUAAUUCCUGCCACUGUCUACAUCUGCACAGUUAUUCUAAAUUUGAACAUUUCUAAUCCCAGUAACCGCUCUAGCUUCAGCAACUACCUUGCUCUACAAGCAGAAAAGGCACUCCUUUUUUGGGAUAAAAACAAGGGGAAAUUGGAAUUCACGAACUGAGCAGUAGAAAGACUGGAUUUUUAUGGCCCCUCACCCCUCCACCUCCACAAGCAAGCCGAUGCUCGGCGGUACCGAGGUCUCCGAUGACGAGGAGGAGCACCGGAGCGGCGGCGCCGGGAGCCGGCGGCCGGAACUCGGGGCGACGGCGGCGCGGAGCGGAGGAGAUGCAGAGGCGGCCGAGGAGGUCGGAACGGAAGCAGGGGCCUUAGCUGUCUCCGGAGAGGCUGGUGCCGGCGGGGACGCCCGGAGCGGGACGCGCCGAGCGGCAGCUGCGGCUGCAGCGGCGGCCAUGACGGGCGAGGUGGGCGAGUGGACCGGCGGCGGCGAGCUAUCCGGCGCAGGGAGAGGACAGGGACACUGAUGAUUGGUCGGUACACCACGUGGGCGUGUGGGCCCAGGCACAGAUGAUGGCAGUUCUAAUCACACAGCGGCUAAGCUAACAAAAGAUCAUCUUUGAGUGACGGGUUAUCUCUUAUCGCUUUCGAAGCACUUAUUUACGGGCGGCGCCGUAUCAGCCCAUUUCUUUCGCCCGAUACAUCCCUUCUUCCUCCGUCUCAUUUUGCUUUUUCAAAGAACGACGCAAAAGAUAGUGCGUGUUUUAUUAAUAUAGCAGAAAAUAUAAGAUUAGAGGCUAUAGACAGGAAAAGGAAAAGAAAAGGAAAAAAAAAGACUCAUCCAGUUAGUUUGGGAUAUCAACGCGGGUCACCACUCAACUCAAAACCAGCACAUCCGACCGGUUGGGACGUCAACGCGGCCUCCCCACUCCACUCACCAAGGCGGCAUCCACCAACAAGGCAACAAUCAUGCUCAUCAAUUUGCCGAAAUCUCCGAGCGUGGUCCUACGUCGAUAGGGAACCGAUAGGAGUAGACUGCACCGCAUCGAGAAGGCCACCGCCAUGCGGGACCCUCCGCCGUAGUGCCGCUACAACACCAUACUCCAACUGAUGGAGUGAUACCACCGAAUCCGAAUAUCUCACAGGUUGCCUCGCAGUCACCACCACGAGAACAUGACGCAUGGGGGCCUCGCUACAACCAUCGUUGGACUCCACCUCGCUCUCAUCGCCUCGAAGAAACACCGUGCGCGAGGGCCUUGCCUCACCCGCCGUGGUACUCCAUGUCACGAAUCUGUUUCUUUUAUUGCCGUCAGAGUGAUAAGCAAUGCUGCUCCGUUUCACCAAAUCUCCAUCAAACAACCAAAACCGCCGCCGCAGGUCGACUUCGCCUCGUUGCUUCACCCGUGCAAAAGCCUCCGCGGUCAAGACAGCAAACCGAGAAGUCGCAUGCAUCGCUUUUUGACGAUGUACCGCACCGGAUAGCCUAGCCAAGCUGAUCAACCCGCUGAGGUCCGCUGCAAGCCUAAUUGUCCCACGCUGUCGUUGCCGCAAGUGCCAUCCUCCGACGUAGUCCCACACCGCUCUGACCGUUGCCAGGCAAUACCAGCCGCCGCAGUCCGCUGCAAGCAGCCAAAGCCGACAACCAUGUAACAACCCCUGACCGCUGCCAUACCUACGAUCGCCUCCACAUGGCCUUAGCAACACCUGUCUAGCUUUCCACACGACCGAAAUGCUGCCACCAGCUGCGGCCGCCAAUGACCAAUGGACCAACAAUGUCAUUAACCAAGAUGGGUCUCUAUAAACAAUGCCUCCAAAGAGAGCAUGAUGCCAAUGGUGCCGCCGGCGCUUGUCCAGGGUCUGGAUAGGGUUUCCAACCAGAGAACUCUGUGCAGUAGGGUUGUAGCUCCGAAGUGACGCCCCCAACGGGUAGAACAACGCCCUAGGGCGCCGUAGUCAACUCCACUACCAAACGCUAGCGAGGGCUUUCGCCUUGAGCAUCCCAACCCUCACCACACGCUCAUAGUUUGACAUUCCCAAACCACGGUCAUAGCAGCCCAAACUGGGGCGGUGUCACCACCGCACACCAAUGUGACCACGCCGCCAUGCCUCCACCUCCGCUUGCUCGCCGCCACAUCCACUCCUUGCAGCCUCCUCCACGUCGCGCGAGCCCCCAUCAAUGCUCAGCCGCCUUCCGCUCCCGUUGCCACCUCCGCAACUCCUUAGCCGAGGAGAGGUGGCCCGAUGACGCCUGCAGCCUCACCUCGGUGCCACCAGCGCACCCCUAUGCCAGGUGUCCUUGCCACGCCUCCAUGGCAUCACUGGGACACCUCGCACAUGGCACCCCGGCUGCGGCACCACGCUGCCACCGUUGAGGCAUAGAAGCCGUUGUGCCCCGGCUUGUUGCUCGCCCCACUUGCCCGCCCUCGCACAAUCUCACGCCGGACUGGUCGCACUCCGUCUGCCACCGUUGACCGAUCCACUCCUUUCCCCGCACAGCGCCACCUCACCUCUGCGCUCGGGGCCAGCCUCCGCGAGCUGGUCAACCACACGGCGGAUUGGAUGCCAUCCCCUGGGCCGCCUGCAUCCGCGUGGCUGCUACCCUCAUUCUCGCAGCUCACCGCCCCUGCCUCAAAUCCCCUCCCACGCAACCCGUCGCCCCAACCUGCAGCUCGCCGCCCCCGCCACAAAUCCCCUCCCACGCAGCCCAUUGCUGGCCGCGCAAUCGCUCCCGCCAGACACGAGCGAGCGGUGGCCACUUGCGCCGGUCACUUUUGCAACUCGUGGUGGAGUUCCAGCACCGCUGCCCAAGGGGGGUGUGAGCGCCACCACGCCCCGCGCUCACCCUCAGCUGUUGCCGCAGAGGAGCCACCGCCGCCAGGUCCUAGGCCCACCGAGACGCCGGACUUGAGGCCAGGACGGCCGCCUACCCACCGCCAUGACCCGCAGAUCCAUCCCCAGGGGCGCCGGAUCCGGUCCCUGAAAUGCCAGAUCCGCCAGCCUGGGGCGCCGCCGCCACCUCUGUAGCCCCACGCCACCGCACCCAAAGUCUGUGCCGGUCCCCGGCUGGUCACCGCCUUCCUAGCAGGCACUCGGGCUUCCGGUGCACUGCUCUGAGGGUGGUGAGGUGGGGAGGAGGUCAGGAGGGGCGGUGGUGGCGGUGGAGCCACCCAUGUCGCCUCCAGGGAGACGACGUGGGGCGGUUAGCACAUGUCUCAUUUUGCUUUUGAGAAAAAGUAUCUAUUUUUUUUAUAUGGAAGAACAUUUGGAUUGUCUAGACAACAAUAUCAUGGAUAUCUAGAUGUAUAUUUGGGAAUGGGACAGGAAGAUUCGAGGCUACACUCGAAUAUGCAUGGAUUUACAUUAUCUAUUAUCUAGCUCACCACACUGGGUGUUGUUGGUUUUCGCCAUGUGAAGACUUGGUCUGCUACAGACGGAUGAUGUUGGUAUUGGCGUUGCUUCCUCCUUGGAGGCAUCAUCUUGCAUGACAUUCACACUCUACCUCAGUUGGUUCUCUUUGUUAGGCAAUACGUGAUGUGCAUGUUUUCAUGGUGUCUUUCUCUCUUGCAGGUACGAGCCAUCUUAGGUCGUGAUUAGUGUGGUGGUGAUGGUGUAGUUUUCUUUUCUGUUGUUGUGUUUGUGUUUUGCUUGUUGCCAGGGUGGUGGUUCUUGUAACUUUGCACUUUAGGUGGGUUUCUCCUAAAAUUGCAUCUUUGUAAUUCUCUUCUUCUUAAUGAAAACGUGUUCAACAUGUAUUUAAAAAAAUUGUACAAGUUUAGUUUUAAGUUAGAAGUUUGAAACUGUGACAACAUUCACGUGCAAUGGCUCCAUUCACAGGCAACUUCUGUAGACCGUAAUUAAACAAACAAUACCUGCAAUGUUCCAUCAAAAAGGAGUUUUAUUAGCUGAGGUAUGCUCAAUUUCGCCACGUGGAAUUAUGGCCUCAUUUUGUGAAGUGAUUUUGGAUUAAAUGCCGAAUUGCUAAUUUCAGCAAGGGAGAAACUAACUCCAGUUAUUUGGGGUUCCAAAGUGAAUCGGACACAUUUCGAAGCAUAAUGAGGAGUUGAGGGAGGACUGAUCUAGAGCAAACUAUAUACCCAAUAUGGUGAGACGUCAAACCACUGUACAAGCGACAUAGGGUUGGUACGUAGAAGAGCUGCAUAUUUUUGUAUUAAGAAGAAAUUAAGUGAUAAAAUGUUUUUACAACACGGACCAUCCAUGCACACGCACAUGGUUGAGGACGAGGAGCCGUAUUUACAACGAGGGUAGGUAAAGUUAAGUGCUAUUACUAAUGCCAAAGCCAUGCAAAGCUAGUGAAUAGUGAUCCGUAUUUAAUUCCAAGUAGGUUGCAUCUAUCUGUUAGAUCUCCAUGAUCCUUCCGAGCUCGUCCCAGGUGCUACCACUUUCUCUCAAGGUCGUCAGCUCGCUCCACCCUGACGUCGAUGCUGGCAACGAAGGAGCUCCCAUCAUCAAUCCUGAUGUUGCUGCUGCUGUUGUUAUGGCCGAUGACACGCCAUGGAAACCAUGCAACAGGAACGGCUGGUUGUGGUCAGUGGCGCCAUAAGCCUCCUUCGUCUCUGACGAAUCGAAGUCGAAGCUGCUCGCCAUCGCCACGGAAAUCCUGUGCUGAUGGAGAUAGUGGUAGUCAUAGUAAUAUUGCAACUGCUGUUGCUGCUGCUGAUGGCUUCGUUCGCUGCUGUGUUCUUGUUUCAGCUGCUGUUGCUGGCACCUCCUAUUGUACGACGACAUGUUCCUCUUGAAGAUCCGGCAUAUCGUCCAUAUUUCCUGUGAUUAGAGAUGAACAAAAAGAAUUAAAUAGUGUUUCAGUUUAUCUGAAUUAUUGUGUUUGAGAGUUACAGGGUUGAUCUGUGAAUUAUUAGCACUGACUGCAUCUUGGAGCUCGGCCGCCGCCGCCGCCGCCGACGCCGCCGUCGAGGGGAGGCGGAACUCGUGCAUCAUCCAGUCGGUCUUGGUGCCCCUGCCGGCGCUGCCGCGGUAGUAGACGAGGGACUUCUUGAGCCCGAGGCACUCGCCGCCGCCGCCGUGGAUGGGCUUGUCGAUGCCGGUGGCCUUCCAGAAGCCGGAGCUGGUGACGCGGUUGGGCCGGAUACUGUUCCUGUACUUGCGUCCACGCAGGCAGAAGAAGUACCUGUCUUUGUCUCCUGAUGCACCCUGCACCACCCCAUGCCGAGCUUCAUCUGCAUGCAUGUUCAUGCAUACCUCCACACAGUCAGCUCCGAUCGAUCUCCAUGCAUGCUAGCUUCCAUCUUGAGCAAUCAAAGAAGAACACACUGUGACUGUGACAUGAAUUGAACAUACUUGGAAGAUCCCAGGGGUCAUGCUUGUAGAUGUCGAUCUCCUUGAUGAUGUCAAUACUGAACCCCUUCUUCUCCACCUUCCUCGCGAGGUAGAAGCCCACGAGCUCCUGGUCCGUCGGGUGGAACCGGAACCCCGGGAACACCAAGUCAUCCUCUUCGUUUUCGACUUCUUCGGCUCCGCCGCCUGUCUUCUUGAUCCUUUCCAACAAUGGCUUCUCCUCCUCCAUGGCUGGCUUCAUCAGGAGCUUGUUCUUGCUUCUAGGGCUAAGAUAGCUGCUUUACAUGCCAUACAUGGUGAUGAUGGUGGCCAAAUGGAGGCUGUGUACGGACUUGGUUAAUCGCUGUAUUAAUAUGUUUGGAUGGCCUGGCCCUUAUUGUAAAAUGAGUGGUCAUACGUUGAAUUGAAGACAGCCAAAGAUUAAGAUGUGAGAAAUUUUUGCCCAGGUCCAAGUCAAUGGAACUUUGGCCUUAUACGUUGAACUUUCUCAUUUCAUUUCCUGCACAAAUUAGAGGAAGCAAUUAAGCAAUUAUUUAACCUAAUCUACUUUACAAACUUCUAAAGACUCAAAUUUUUGACUUAGAACGCAUCAUAUAGUGAUGCCUUUUUUAAUGGUUGAGGACUCGUUCUGAUUUUUUGAGCUAGGAAUCUAUUUCAGAAGAUGGUUUGAUUUUUCUUUUGUAAUCUUUCCGUUCCAAAUUAUAAGUCAUUCUAACUUUCUUGGAGCGUCAAACAAUUUUACGUUUGACCAAAAUUAUAGAGAGGAUCACAAAAUUUUAUGGCACCGAAUAGAUAUAUACUAUGAAAAUAUAUUUAAUGAAGAAACUAAUAGUACUUAUUUGGUAUCAUGAAUGUUAGUACUUUAUUGUAUAAAUUUGGUCAAACUUGAGAUGUUUUGACUCUCUAAAAAUAACUUAUAAUUUGGAAUGGAGGGAGUAUGGUUAAGCAUAUCAAUACUAUGUUGUGUUGUGCCAAGUCAAGGCAGAGGUCGUCAUGCCCUUUGACUCGGUAGGAGUGUGAUUGAUUUGUCUAAGCUAGCCCUUUUAAUUUUGCAGGGUGAAUUAUCUGCUAUCCUUUUUUCUUUUAUUACCACAAACGAGGGUGAGUGGUAUUUUUCCCCUCAAAUUGGACCCUUUUGCUUGUUUGCAAAUUAAAUUUUGGAUCUGAAUGGUAACUACUAUCAGAUUUUGGAAUACAUUUGCUACAUUUUUGUUAACUGUUGUAAUUUCUCUCUGUCCGGUAGUUGUCGCGAUUUGAGACCGCGGUUGUCUCUUCAAAUUAACAGGAAAAAAUAGUUUCAGGAAGAAAAGCUCCGGGUGUAAAAGCUAAACCGUGCGUAGAUAUUUUUUUCUACUGAGAAAAGGGUUGAUCACAAAAUUUCGUCGACAGUUAAAUUUUUAAUGCCGUUUAUGUUGGGUGGAAAGGGAUGUGCGGAUUUGUCUCAUAUUAAAGUGUAACUUACAUUUUGAGCCACAAAACUUGGAGAAGCUUCGGAUUAGGUAAGAAAAUCAGUCCCCCUUUGCUACUUGUACUGCUAGAGCUGAAGAAUCUCAAAGCAUUCAUACGACACAAAACUCUGGCCAUCAAAUUUUUAGUCACUGCAAGGAAAGUGACACACCUACACAUGUUGCUUCAAAAUAACUCCAUAUCCAUCCAAGCAAAGAAAAAAGAUGCUAAAUAUUUCCAGGUUUGGAAAAGUGUGAUGGUUGAGUCCACCAUUUUCAGCCUGGAUGAAAAAUGCAGUCAGCAGCUGUGGAUUUGUAAGAGGGAAACAAUUUUUGUAACCUGACACUUGGCACUCGUAGUUAUCCAGGAAAUUUUGGCAUAAAGAAAAAUCUGAGUCCCUCUUUUGUUUGAUAAUGGUUAAGAAAACAUUUAGGACCCACAAAUUGACCUCUCCAGACUCUAGACUGAAUUGUUGCUUGUAUGGAUAGCAGGGCGCGACUUUCUUACAAUGAGUACAUCAUAUGUUUUACGGCGUAACACUGUCCUGGUUGUUUAAGAUAAUUCCGUUAAAAAAGAUCCGGUCUAUUUUCUGCAAUAAAAACUAUGAAUUUCCGAGAAAAAUAUCCUUAUAAAACUCUCAUGUGCUCCCACAAGUUCUAACACCUCUAUUGUCUGUCACUCAGUUUCAUCAAACAUAAGCUUUUUCUCGUUCUCUUUGUUGGUGGUGUUUCUAUUUUGAUCCUGGAUUCUACUGAUUUUUCAUCCUUCUUGUAAUGGGAAGCCAUGUAAUCUCCACUUAUUUUUGGGUAUACAUCUUGCAGUGCACAUGAUUUCCUUUUUGAAGUAUCUUACUUAUAUAUUCUGCUCUCUUUGAAACAAUUAGAAACAAUUAUUUAGGCUAUUCGAGUUGAACUAAGCUGGCUCUAUAUCCUGCAAUCAUACAAUUCUGGAACUUUUUUUUUCCAAUCUUUAGUUUUUAGAGAUUUUUUAAUAGUAGGCAUUCGUCCUGAUCCUGAUUAUAAUCAGACUAUCGCAACUGUUUCUUUCACAAGGUAUCUUCCAAUUAGUUGAGUCUCUUUAACUUCCUUUGUUUUGUUAUUUUUCUGUAGCACUGUCUAAACUACAAUGCAAGUAAUAGAUGAAUUCUCAGUUGAUGGCAACUGGUGAAAAAUCAUUUUUCAUGUCCUAUAACUGGAUGCGAAAGUUAUCAUGGCCUCUAGAGUCCAUUUUCAGCUAAGAAUGAUGAGUUUAAAAUUCAAUUCAAUGCUAAAUUUUGGUCCCUAUAUCUUCUUUUUUAUGAAGUAGUUGAAGUGCUCAACUACCAAAUUUAUUCAAACUUUGAUGUCUUUUUCGAUCAAACUAUUCAAAUGAUGCCACAUAAUAGCAACAAUGAUGAUCCAAAAGGAACCAAGAUUUUCUGUUGAACACACAUUCCAUCUCUGAAGACUGUAGAGAUAAGUAACUCGUAGGUCCUACCUUUCUGAAGCUCUGAUGCAUGCCAUGAAGUUGUCAACAAAGAUAAAAAGGCAAGAUGGUCAGAGCAAAUAUAAUCAGAUACAUUUUGGUGCUGUCAAAAGAGUUGAUGUCACUGCAUGCGUGCAGUAGAUCCAUCGUGAUAAUUUACUAUUGAAUUAAGGAAAGCAGGGCUGUUUAACUUCAUGCGUCAUGAAACCUGAUAAGAUCACUCAUGCUAACCAAAGUGAUCGAUCUCGUCUUCUUCUUCCUCUGCUUCACCUCCAAAGUCAGCAUAUUCUGCUGCAUGCUCUAGCAGAAGAAAUCCAGAUCAAAGUAGGUCGAGUGAAAUUUUUUUUCCAUCUCCAACCUUGCCGAAGCGACCGAACAUUCAGACACAAUCAAAAGGUCUUUUCUCAGAAGUCUACAUGACUCCAUGUUGGCUGCUGCCUGUGCAGUACAGGGACUAGAAAACUGUGAGCACAGCAGAGUGUUUUGUUACUGAACUCCAUCAGUUUUCGUGUUUGACGGUGAUGGCGUUCAUACUGCGUUGAAACUUGAAACUGAGAACAUGACAUACUCAAGUACAAGCACAACAGAGCACUUGAUCAGGAUACAACAAAGCCACAAUAAGCUGCCGCAACUUGCAAGAGUCAAAAACGCCCCCGGCAUAAUACAGUAGCCUGAAAUCUUCAUCUUAGAGCAUGGGGUUUCAGUGUCCUUGAAGGCAGUCGUUCAGGUGUAAAAAACACCUGAUAUUUCAGUAAAACAUCGCUGCCGGUAGAAACAACAAUGUCCCCUUGUCUCCUAGAUUAGAUAAAAAAAACUCUUCCCUAGAACAUUAUUGCUAAUAUAACUUGGAAUAGUCUGAGAGAAGACGCAUGCAUCUCAGUAUCAUUGAUAGACUCAGUUGGUCUGUUACUUUCUUUGGACCUUAAAGUAUUGACAAGUCCUGUGCAAUCUUCCCAAGCGUUGACUAAAUCCGUUGGCUGCUGAAACAAUCUUCUUAUGGGAAGUAGUAUUGUUCAGGCUUAAGGAAUGAGGAAUCUGGCUGUUCAUACCAAAAAAAGCGAUGAACAAUUCCACUUCCAUUUUGUGUUUUUUGUCCACACAACCUGGCAUAUCUUCAUUCUGAUUCAGUGUAGUGGCAGUGAUGCUAAUGAAUGGAUUUCCUUUGCUCUCUCAAAAUUCAUCAGAAUGAAUGCUCUGUUUGCACAUAUUGUGGUUUUGCAAGUGUCCCCAAACCUAUCACUCGAGCUGACCAACCAACGUGGUGCUGCCCUCGUGUCCUUCGGGGAUGGAUCAUACAUGUGGGGAUGGAUCAUACAUCAGCGAUGGACUCUUCGGAGAAGAUCAGGAAAACAACUCUGAAUUCUCUGCUACACUGAACGCGCUUGUCUGAAUUCGAAGCUGAAUUGCCAUCACAGCAGGAACUUGAGACUGAUUUUUUAUGCUGAGGAAUCUCCGGUUAAUCUGCCGACGGCAACCAAAUCAGAACAGCCAUUGGGCCUCCCGCAAAUUUCGCAUAAUAAGCUUCAAUGGAUGAGAAAUUUCGGUUGAUGCUCUGCUGCUUUCAGUUGUCUGUUGCGUUGAUGAAAAUGCUGCGUGUUUCAGAGUUCAGGCAUCAGCAAAAUGGAGUCUGCUGACAAUGAACUGGAAAACCAAUCUUCUUUAGAUAAUGGCAAGUCAAUAGAAGCGGCUUCAUCUCAAGAAAAAAAAGAACAUGCCGACUCUACGACCUACGCACCCAGGCACUGGUUGCAAAAUGCAUACCUACAUUUUCACACAACGAGCACACUAGUUAACGACUCAAAAAAGUCCCCGGUAUAAUAUAAUAGCCUGAAAUCUUCAUCUUUGAGCUGAAGCUAAUUUUGUCAGAAACAUGGGGUUUCAGUGUGCUAGGCAGCAGACCAGUGAGGCAGUGAGGCAGUCGUUCAGAUGUAAAAUUGAGCAUGUGAUGCUUCAGUAAGACAUCUGAUUGACAGGUCCUGUGCAAGAGUUGACUAAAUCCGUUGGCGGCUGAAACCAUCUUCGUCUUAUGGGAAGUAUCGUUCAGGCUUAGGAAUGGCGAAUUUUCAACGGAGCACAAGCUAAACAGCCCAGCCGGCUGGUUUCUGAAAUCGUCGAGCAGGCUCAGCUUUGGUGCAGCGCAGGUGCCACACACCUAUCCUUGCUGGGUUGGCCAGUAUCAGCAGGAGGACCACAUCCUUAGUCGACCUGCCUCCUGUUUGCUGUUGAUUAGUUGUUCAUUUCAUUACGUAAUCAUUGAUGCAAAGUUGUUUCGUGUGCGUACGCCCAGUUAGCCCGCGUUGUAACCUUAAACUAUCUCUUCUUUCUUCUUAAUACAAAGAUACGCAGCUCUCUUGCAUGUUCUUUUUCAAAAGAAAUGGUGAAUCUGGUUGUUCAUACCAGACAAGCGAUGAAUAAUUCCACUUCGAUUCAGAAAUGAUAUGUUGCUCAGGUCAACUCAAUGGAGCGAUCUCCUUUACUUCUGCCAUUGCUCACUGCAGUGUCAAAUUGUCAAUGACAACGCAAGGUAGUGUCAAAUUCAGAGCCCUCUAAUGAAGAGAGAGUAUGUCUGCAUUAAGUGUCUACAAUUUUUUUUAGCAGAAAGAACUGUGGCUCUGUAUGUUCUUUUAUUGCAUCCCUGGUAUAUCUUCAUUCUGAUUCAGUGUAGUGGCAGUAAUGAAUCGGUUUUCUUCGCUCUCUCAAAAUUCGUCAGAAUGAAUGCUCUAUCUGUUUGCAGAGCCCUUUUACGGUACAUAAUACUACUACUUAGUAUAUAUAGUAUAUAUAAGAUCUAAAUGUUCAUGAUUAUGGAUGAUUUAGUAAUUAUUAAAUGUGAAAAGUGAUAUUUUAAACGAAAUGGCCUGUUUGCAUAUAUGAGGUUUUGCAAGUGCCCAAACCUCAUCACUCAUGCUGACAAACCAACGUGGUGCUGCCUCGUGUCCUUUCGAAGUCGACAACUCCUGCUCAAACAGAGAACGGGUUCAACAGCAGAGGAACGCAACAGAGCUGGUAAGUUUGACGAGCAGCAGCAUCAGAGUCAUGCAGGAAUGCAUACCAGUACAGCCACAGUAUGCGUUUACAAAAUCUUGCAUCAGUGCAGCAUAGACAAGAGCUAAGCUUGAACAUGCUUCACAUAGCAGUAACAGCAAAGGAUUAACUAAUCUGACGAGUUAUUUUGGGUAAUGAAUAUCUACCAUAACUGUUCAAAGCGGUGUCAAGCACGCAAUUGGCCUCUAUUUUAAUAUAGCAGUAGCCCUCCUGUUGGCUCGUUUCAAAACAAAAGUAUGCAAUUGGCCAAGAACGUGUAGACUCAAAGAAAAGACAUACACUAGCACAAAACGGAGAUGUUGUGAGAGGAGCAUCAUUUUCAUGAGAAUAAUUGACAACCCUCAUGAGGUUGCGCUAGAAGAGAUGGAGCCUCUCAAUGUGUUCUAGCUCGAAAGGAAUUACUGGUACAGAGCAGCUGAGAGCCUGACUGCCUGAGAUGACGAGCUCUGUCAUGUCAUGAGGUGCAAUCAAUCACGCCCAUGAUGGAUCUUGUUCCAUGCUCACUACGCUGCCUUACAAUCGUGUGGGCGCAGUGUGGAUUGACAGAAGUACCAUGCGACAAUUCUUUUUUUUAGGGUCAACAGGGGACCCGGGGGGGGCGGGGGGGGGGGGGGGGGGGGGUUUUCCCCCUUAAUUUCUUUAUUGGGGCCUUUUUAAAGCCAAAAGUCUGUACAACUUGGGUUUCAGCAAGGAAAACAAGCGAGAGGGGAAGGGGGCUCAUUCAGUCAGUUACUAGGCAUUACAUUGAACAAAAGACAGUGCACAAGGCUUCAGCAAUCGCUCGACGCACUUCAUCCCAGCAGGACGCCCAGAAUCGUGCGUGAGAUGGUGGGGCUCUUGAGAAGACGGUGUCGUUGCGGUGCUUCCAUAGCAUCCAUGAGAUCAGAAGGAGGAAGCCAUUGUAGUGCCGUGCAGGGACUGUUGUCGGAUGGGGAACAAUCCAGAGAACUUGGACAGAGGAGUUGGCCGUGUGAGAGCCAAGCGACGCCCAAACCUGUGAUGCAAAGGAGCAGCGAAAGAUGAUAAUGGUUGCAGUCUUCCACCUGGCCACACAGCUCACAGGAUGGAUUGUCAAGGAUGUUCUUGUUCACCAAGCUGUUGCGGCACUAAAUUCGCUCCAAGCGACAAUUCUUUCCUCGGUGCCACCCAUUCCCAUUCCCUUGCAUGCUCGAUAAGAACUUUGGAGUUCAUUUGUUGCUUUUGUUGUGUUUAGUAGAUGGGCGCAUGACGGUAAGUAGAUGGUCAAUAGGGUUCCUUUCUCGAAUAUUUAUAGGCAUGUGAUUUCAUCGAGACAUGUUAGGUUGGAUAUUAACUCCUCCUAAUAGGUAGUAAAUUAAGGAGGUGUAGCUGCUCUGUGCUGCAUUUCUACUUACCGUCAUAUGGUUAUGAAGCGAGUAAACUUUGUUGAAAUUUCCCGUGUGGAUUAGUUCAAAUAUAUAGGAUGGUAAUUUUUUUAUGUAUUUGUAUAAUCUGAGCAGGCACAUUAAAUUGAUACAGGAUUCCCUGUAAAAUUCUCGCAAUUUUCCUAUUGGACACCCUCACAACAACACACGGGUUCGUCAGGAAUUUCUCAUAGCACAAUCUAUGUAUUUGUCCUCGAUCUUGUUUUGACGAGCAAAUAAAACAAGCCAACAACUGAACCGCUAGUGGAUGAUGCACAUAGUUGCAAGAUACUGCAGUGUGCUACUAUUUUAAGGGUUGAUCAAAUGCGAAACUGAACAACAAAGCCGAAUUACUUGAAAUCAAACUAACUAAUUAUUGAUGAGAAAAAUUGUAGGGCUCACAAAACUAUAUAUAAAAUGCUACAAAAAAUAGAAGCCCAUGAUGUGAAUCAUUGAAUCCUGUUACUCGUAUGUUUGCUAACCUCCUCUUCCGCUCGCCGUUGUCGUUCUUUCGGUCGGUGCAACGCUGUAUGUUAGCCUCCACUCUCAACUGUGUAGUCAUCUUCAGGCCGACCUGCCUGACAAUUAUCUAAUCUCAUGCUUGAUGCUGAUUUUGCCAGUGCGAAUCCACACGAGCGUCAUGCGACCAUUCUUUUCUCGGUGCCACCCAUUCCCUUCUCCCUUGCAUCAUGUCGACAGGAACUCUGAUUUGCAUUUUGUUGGUUCUUGUGUUUUUCUUCCCUGAUUGUUUGUGAAUCAGUUUUCGAUCAGUAGACGGGAAAAUGAUUCCAUCGAGACGGGUUAGGAGUAUAAAGAAGGUGUAGUGGCUCUUUGUGCUAGGAGCAUAACUGACAGCGCACAGCAUAUAUUCAUGGAACGUCAGUAUGCAUGGUCUGCAUGCACAUGAAUCUGAACAAUGCCUUUGUUGCUUAAGCUGUCACCUAGCUGCAGUUGCUACACUCAAUUUGGUGGGGGUGAAAUUCCCAUCUUGUCCUUUUUUUUAGGAUCAACGGGGGAGAGCAUCCCCAUCUGAUUUUCAUUUCAAAGGGCUUUGAGCAAGCCAAAAGCUUUACAUCUUUGGUUGUUUUCCAGCAAUUUUAAAACAAAAGGGGGUAAAACGUUAUAAAGUUGGUGAUUACAUUGAAGGGAAGGCUUGGCACCAGGCAUCAGCGAUCAUGCGUUCAUGGCUUCGUCACCUGAAACUCCAUAGGCAUGCAUCUUCUUGACAGUUGCUCCAGAAUCGACAGCGGGAGGGCGGCGCAUUGUUGUCGAAGUCAACAUCGUUGCAAGGGACACACUCGCAACCACAUCGGCGCAUUGUUGUCUGAAGGAUCUGAGAGCAUUUUCCCAGAUGCCAGCCAUUCUCAAAAUCUAUUUGCACUCGAUCUUGUUUGGACGAGCAAAUAAAAACAAGCCAGCUCUCUCAUGCUAGAGGUGGCAUCUUUGUCUCGUGACUAACAUCACUGGCUAGUGGAUGCACAUAUAUAGUUGCAGUAUGGACUAUGGGAGUGCUAUAUACUGUGUGGCUGGACCAUUCUCAAAGUGUAUUUUGUAAUCGAUCUUGGCUGGACGAGCAACAAGCCAACAACUGAACAGCGCUCUCUGACUGCUUUCAGAGACCAUAAGCAGAGUUACUACUGCUAAACAGUGGGAGUCAAAAACGGCAACUGAUAGUGUAGACCAUAAGGAGAUGAGCAUGAAGCUGGAGUCAAGGCCUUUUCUUUGAUGCCUCUUGAGUUGGUGGAUUGUUCUGAAUGCCAACGCACUGGCUGACGGCGUGCCAAACCUGUUGAGUGUAACUGCAUUGAGCAAAAGGAUGUACUGAAGUUUCAGCAUCCUGAUCACAGAGCGCGUACAGUGCUGUUUGCUGCAGGCCAUGUCGUUGCCUUCUUGCCGCCGUCCACAACCUCUCUCGCAAGGCUAGCGACAUGAAAAACUUCACCUUGAGAGGUGCCCAAGAUCGCCAAAUUGAUCCUGCAGCAGGGAAUCUGGCUGAUCCUAUGAAGAAUAUGCCCUGUAAGCAGAUUUGGCCGAGUAAAUUCCUGAACUUUCCCACCUCCAAGAGACCCUAUCUUCAGUCCCGACAGCUAACUGGAUUCCUGCAACCUCUUGCCAAAGCUGCACAUGCUGACUACAGCAGUGUGAAUCCAUAGGAGUAAGACCGUGCGACCAGUCUUUUCUCGGUGCAUCCCAUUUCCAUAUUCCUUUGCACGCCAACAAGAUCGAGCUUUGGAGUUGCAUUUGUCGGUUCUUGUGUGUUUUCUCCCCUGAUUGUUUUCUGAAUGAGUUUUCAUGAGUAGACGGGGUAAAUGGGAAGGGAAACCUCGAAAAGGUUAAUACAAUAAUAGAAUGGGCGCAUAUAUGAGUUGUGUGUGUGUGGCGGUCAAUAGGAUUUCUUGAAUAUUUAUAGGCAUGUGUGAUUUUAUCUAGACAUGUUACGUUAGAUAUUAACUACAAGUAAGAAGGUGUAGAGAUGGUCUGUGGUGCACGGACAUUUCUACUCAGUAAUUAUAGCCGUUGUUACGAAGGGAGUAAAUUUUGUUGUAAUUUUCCCAUGUAAGUUAGUUCAAAUAGGAUGGUAGCUUUUAUUACGUGCAUAAUCCAAGCAGGCUGUUUAAAUUAAGGGAGUGUUUGGCUCCAGUUGGGCUAAAGUUUAGCCCUGUCAGAUCGAAUGUUUAGAUACUAAUUAAGAGUAUUAAGUAUAGUCUAAUUACAAAACUAAUUACACAGAUGGAGUCUAAUUCGUGAGACGAAUCUAUUAAGCCUAAUUAGUUCAUGAUUUGAUAACGUGGUGUUACAGUAACCAUUUGCUAAUGAUGGAUUAAUUAGGCUUAACAUAUUCGUCUCGCGAAUUAGCCUAGGGGUUCUGCAAUUAGUUUUAUAAUUAGUUCAUGUUUAGUCCUCCUAAUUAGCAUCCGAACAUCCGAUAUGGCAAGGCUAAAUUUUAACCUCUGGUAUCCAAACACCCUAGGACAUAAUUUCCUCUAAAAUUCUCGCGCACAACCCUUUGUUGCUUAAGCCAUCAGCUAGCUGCAGUUGCUGUACCAUGUAUGUGUUCCAUUGAACUGUGCUUCUCAAUCGCUAGUCUGAUGACCUCGGUUCCAUUUGUACGUUGCCCGUUGUAACGGCCGGGUCACCCUCACAACAAUGCACUAAAUUCUUGUGGAUUUCUCAGUGCAUUUUCCUAGAUGGCAACCAUUCUCAAAGUGUAUUUUGUAAUCGAUCUUGGCUCGACGAGCAACAAGCCAACAACUGAGCAGCUCUCCUGUGGCCUCUUUGUCUCCUGACUAAUUAUACAUAUAAGAAAACCAGAUUAUUCCAAUGCUCCCCUCAUCGCCUGACAGAGGCCAGGGGUUGCGUUAAGAAUACGUACUUUAAUUUUGGCCAAGAAACAACCAAACAAACACAGCUGGUGUAGUAAUAAUGUGUUGUGCGGGGUUGUUUACAAGAUUACAAGUUCCUGAAGAAAGACAGACCAAAAAAACAAAUUAAGAAAAGAUUCUAAGCCUUGAUUCUGUUGACGAUCGAUGAUUUACGUGUCAUCAUCAGGAUCGACGAGUGUUGCUACGGCGAAUCUUGUUCCAUCCUUGCUCACCUGCGCCAUGACCUCGUCCUCGGCGCGUCACCGUACUCCGGUCGGCGCAACAUGUACGAUAGCCUCCACUCUCAACUCUGCCACCGCGUUCCAGAGUUCCACUGCGCUUCGCUUGGCAGUUCUCACACCACACGCAUGGAGCUGGCUUGAGCAGUGUGAAUCCAGUGGAGUACCAACCAGCGACCAUUCUUUUCUCGGUGCAUCCCAUUUCCAUUAUUCCUUAUUUGCACGCCAACAAUGCAAGAACUUUGGACCUGCAUUUGUUGGUUCUGGUGUGUUUUUCUUCCCCGAUUGUUUCUGAAUCAGUUUUCGAUCAGCAGAUGGGGAAAUGAGAAGGGAAACCUAGCUAGAAAAGGCUAAGCCGCUAAGACACUACUUUACUUAGAAUGGGAUUUCUCGAAUAUUUAUAGGCAUGUGUGAUUUCACCGAGACAUACGUUUGAUAUUACUACUAGCAGUAGUUAACAAGGUGUAGCUGCUCUGUGGUGCACGUACGGACAUUUCUACUGACCAAUGAUCACCGUGGUUAUGAAGGGAGUAAAUUUUGUUGAAAUUUCCCCAUGUAAGUUAGUUCAAAUAGGAUGGUACAUAGCUUUAUCCACAAGUUUAAUCAUAUCCAAGCAUGCACAAUAAAUUAAGACAUAAUUUCCUCUAAAAUUCUCGCAAUUUUCCCACCAUGCUCUUAUUAAUUUGAAACCCAAAUAACCGUCGGCGUUGUCCGAAAAAGAGAUCACGCGACGCGACGCUUGUACAUGAAUAAUCCAGAGGAUGCUUUUGUUGCUUAAGCAGUCACCUAGCUGCAGUUGCUAGUUUGCUACACUCAGAAUGUGGGACAUGGCACCAGUUCAUCUGGGAUAUCUGAGAGCAUUUUCCCAGAUGCCAGCCAUUCCCAAAAUGUGUUUGCACUCGAUCUUGUCUGGACGAGCAACAAAACAAGCCGAGGGCCCUCGCAAGUCACAACAACUCGAUCUUCUUCCAAGAUAGCAGCUUUCUCUUGCUUGGUGGCCCUCUUCAGUUUGUCUCUCGUGACUAGUAUCACUGGCUAGCUAGCUAGUUGUGGAUGCAGAGAGUUGCAGCAUGGACUGUGGAGUGAUGUAUAUAUGGGAAAAGCUGCAGUAGGCGAACCCGGAACUAACUGACAAUAGUGAGUGCAUCCCAUCAACCAUAGGAACAUAACAGUAACUCAACUUUAAUAGAAGAUGACCUAAUACCAUUAUGCUAUACAAACUGCACUGCAGCUAAACAGUGGGAGUCAAAAACGGCAACUGAUAGUGUAGACUUAUUUGGACAAUUUAAUUGGAAAAAAAAAACAAAACUAUAGCUACAAAGAGAACGGUCUGCUACUCUGCUUUCAAACCAUAAGCAGAGCUCCAGAUGCCGUUCCUACUCACCCUUCGGACGGACAGACAUUCCAAAACGACCGGUUGUGCAAAAUCGUCACAACAUCCAUUGUCGUCCAGCCCGGUUAGGAUACCUGGCUUUCACCCAGGCGACCCGGGUUCAAAUCCCGGCAAUGGAACUAUUUUUUCUCAUUUAUUUUUUUUCUUAUUCCUUGAACGAGACUAUCCCAAGCUUCAUCUCGGAUAAUGAAUUAUUGGAACUGAGAUCUCUGCAUCGACGAGAAACAUGGCUCCUGCAACGGCAUCCCGAGAGCUUCAUCUCUGAUCCAUUGUCGCCGAAAAUGGUUGAAGGAAUUAAUCACAAGUCAAAUGUUAAACUUUUAGCAGCCACUACUAAGAGCAACGGCAUCCCGCAACGAGGAUGCAUUAUGAACAAUGAACGCUUCGAGCGACCUUGUAUGAAAGUCCCCAGCAUAGGCCAUCCUUGCUAUAUUGAUAUGCCCAAACUGAGCUUCGCUCUCAUCCAAGCUCCAUUCAGUUCACUAGGGUUCAUUCAUCAAUCCCAGGUCACAGGGUUAUUGCAUCUACUCACGCAUGCAAGCAAAAAUCUUCAUAGGUUCUUCGCCUCCUUGGUUCGCAACUUCCAAGUCACCACCUUCGUUCUUCCUCCUCCCACCAUUCUCCUUGGACCCUGCAUCCGCCACCGCCACCAAACACUGAGUUUCCCCAAAAACAAAAUAAAGAAAAGAGAGAGAGGAAGAAAACGUAGUAAAUGGCAAGAUGAUAUAUAAAGAGAAAGUUGAGAGACCCACAUCACUCUAGGUCAAGCAAAUGAACUUUACAAGACAGCUACGCGUACCUGCAAACUUUGUUUAGAUGUGGUUGGCAUCGUGCAAAGGGUGUAUCAACAACUGACGAGAGGAAUGAUUGUGCUUUCUGAGUCAUCGUCCCGCAUUCUCUUCCUUUUCUUUAUUCUCUGCUACUUCCACUCAUCUUCCUUUUCUUUAUUCCUUUUCCAGUUGCUGCGGUUGGUUCUGGAUCAGCAGCAGCACUUGUGGGUUUGUUGAGUGAGAACCCGUUGCUUCUUGCCUAUCUUUCCACGCGCUCUUUCUCUCACAAUCUUCUUCCUCCCGAUUCCAAGUCUUCCAACUUCCAUCCCCACGGCCACGCACUGCUCUUCCCUCCUGCUCUGGUCUCGCUCGCUUGCGCGUCGUGGGGCCGGGAGAUCACGUCAAGGUCAAGGGGCUGCCACACUGCUCGAAGCUUUCCAUCUUCUCCGAAAAAACCAGGUUGGUUUCCCCGUCCUUUUGUUGGAGUUCGUGUAGAUUUCUGUCUCCGCCGGACCGAUGCCACCGUCGCCGCCUCCCACGGUCCCCUCCUUCCCUGGUGGCUCGUUUGCUUGACUGAUCAGUGACCUCAUCAGAAAGCAUUCCUAAGGAAACUGCUCACUUCAAACUCAGAUUGAGCACAAGCUAGGAGACCCGAUGGGCUCUGCGGUGGUGAGUGAGCUCAGCGAAUCACACUCUCUCUGUUUUUCCUGUUUGCAUCCCAAACUCUAAAGAACCUUGUUAAAAAAGAAAGAGUUACUAAGUAGUAUUACUCCAGAUCGACGAUUCCAUCUUUUUUAAAGCUUCCGAAUCAAUUUUUUUUGUUUGAUUUAGGAGUAAAAGAAAAACCACAGACCAUCAACUUAGAGAGCAACCAGAAGAAAUAAAAGCAGAGGUGAUGGAGGCUGCCGUGGUGAGCGCGUCGCACGGUGCAAUGGGCUCCCUGCUAGGGAAGCUUGGUGAACUUCUCACAGCAAAGUACAAGCUGCUCAAGGAAGCAAAGGGACAGAUCAUGUUCUUAAAGGCUGAACUCGAGACCAUGUAUGUCUUUCUGAAGAAGAUCUCAGAUACAGAGGAGCCUGAUGAGCAAGACAAGCACUGGGCCAAGGAGGUACGCGAGCUGUCCUAUGAUAUCGAUGACAGUGUCAGCGAGUUCAUGCUCCGCGUGGAAUGCGACUCCAGCAAGCCACACGGAUUCAAAGGGUUCAUCGUUAGGAGCAUGAAGUUAAUGACAACCGUGAACACUAGGCAUGAGAUUGCCAAAGAGUUUGAAGGCCUUAAGAACCGUGUCAAGGAGGUGAGUGAGCGGCGUACGAGGUACAAGAUGGAUGAUGUUGCCCCAAAGUCAAACAACACAGCCAUCGAUCUUCGCUUGCUGGCGCUCCAUGCUGAGACGGCGAGCCUUGUUGGCGUCACGGGACCAAGGGACCAGCUGAUUCAGUUGAUGGAUGCAGAGGGUGUGUCUGCACAUCAGCUAAAGGUGCUCUCUAUUGUGGGGUUUGGAGGUCUUGGAAAGACUACUCUUGCAAAUGAGAUUUAUCGCAAGCUUGAGGAGAAGUUCCAGUGUCAAGCUUUUGUUUCUGUGUCCCAGAAACCAAACAUCAGGAAGAUUCUGAGAACAAUACUAUCUCAAGUUGGCUUUGUACCUCCUAAGGACACCAACAUUGAAAUGUGGGAAGAGCCUGAACUGAUUAGUUCAGUGAAAAAAUUCUUAUUGGACAAGAGGUACGUACUCUGAAAAUAAUUGUGCUCUAAGAACAUUUAUGAUAUUUAGUUGAUUUCCUAUUUUGAAGCUAUUAUUGUUUAGAAAUUAGAAUCCUAGUAUUUGGUAGGCAACAUUACGAUGUGUCUAGAUCUCUUCUCUAGAUCUUAGUUUCUCACGGCUAAAUGGCUUGUCCCUGUUGUAUCUUCAUCUGUGGUAAUUUGCAAAAUUCAAAAAAACAUUUUUUUAAUUAGAUGUGAGAAAUUAUAAUUAAUAUUUGGGCUAGUAAAUAGUCUUGACAAAAAAGCGUCAACUAUAAAGUUUUGUUUUUAGAUUUUGUCAAUUCUACAUUUUUUAUAUAAAUUUUGUGUUAAUCCAACUUUGAUGAAAGUUGUGAUUUUUCCUUUAAAAUGCUUGCUUUUAUUUGUGUUGGCGCGCCACAUAAGCAACUGCAAGUAGAAUUGUCAUUUGUGCUGGCGGUUACUUAUACGGCCCACCAGCGCAAAAACAUGUCCUUACCAGUAUAAAUUAUUUUUGGGUGCAAUGAGGAUACAUUCCUGUGUUCAUUUACUCUAUCCUAAUGCUUGCUACAUUCCCUAUGUAUUUACAUGGCAGGUACCUCAUUGUAAUUGAUGACAUCUGGGAUGCUUCUGCAUGGUAUGUUAUUAGAUGUGCUCUUCCAGAGAGCAUGAAUGGUAGUAGAGUAAUAACAACUACUCGAAUUGAGGCUGUGGCUAGAGCAUGCAGCACUAAUCACAUUGAGUGUGUUUACAAGAUGAAGGCACUUAGUGACCAAGACUCAAAAAGGUUGUUCUUCAAAAGAAUAUUCGGUUUGGAGGAUGCUUGCCCUUCAUAUUUGAAAGAAGUGUCAGGUGAAAUUGUGAAAAAAUGUGGUGGUUUACCGCUUGCAAUCAUCACAAUAUCAAGCCUUUUAGCCAAUCAAUCAAACAAAUUAAAGGAAAAUUGGGAUUAUGUACGGAACUCUCUAGGCUCCAACUUUGAACCAAGCUUGGAAGGCAUGAGACAAAUAUUGAGUCUUAGCUACACAAAUCUUCCGUACCAUUUGAAGGCAUGCAUGCUAUAUUUAGGUAUUUAUCCGGAGGACUACACAAUCAACAAGAAUGAUUUGGCGAGACAAUGGGUAGCUGAAGGUUUUAUAUAUAAAGCUAGCGCGACAGAUCCAGAGGAUAUUGCAAAGAACUAUUUCAAUGAUCUCGUCAAUAGGAGUAUGAUACAGCCUGCAGAUACAGAUUAUAAUGGCGAGGUGAUAUCCUGCAAGGUACAUGAUAUGGUGCUUGAUCUUAUCCUACAUAAAUCAAGGGAAGAAAAUUUUGUAACUGUAAUAGAUGAUAUACAAGACAUGACAGGACAUAAAGAUAAGAUCCGUAGACUCUCUUUCAAUCAGGACAGUGUUAUAGAUUCUAGAUUCAUGGGAUCUGUCCAGCUAUCCCAAACACGAACCCUUGCAAGAUUCGGUAGCUCUUCACGGUUACCGCCAUUUCUGCAGUUCAAGCACCUACGGGUUUUAAUAAUUGAAACUUCACGAGCAAUUGGGCCAUCACCAUUACUUGACUUCGAUAGAAUAUGCCAUUUGUUUCAGUUGAGGUGCUUAAAGAUUGUAGCGGAAGAUUAUGAUGCGGUGUUACCUAGUAAAAUUGGAGAUUUGCAGCAACUGGAAACGUUUGAAGUACAACUUGACUACAAAUUUCUUCAAGGGAGGAAAUCUCUGAAAUUACCAUCAGAUAUUGUUCAUUUGAGCCGGUUAUUGCAUUUGAUUGUUCCAGUGAGGACAAUAUUGCCUGAUGGGAUAGGUAACAUGAGAUCAUUGCAUACUGUACACCGAUUUAAUUUGGCGAACUCACUGCACAGUAUCAAGAGUCUGAGAGAACUGACCAAUCUGACAGACCUUGAAAUUGGCUUUGCGGGCUCCAUUAUUGAUCAUGAGGUGGUGGAACGAGGCAGGGAAGUUCUCCACAUAUGCUUUGAAAAACUUUGCAACCUCAAAUAUCUAAAAGUGAAUAUUUUUCCCUCCGAAGCCUACUUGGAUGCAUUCAGUCCAAUACCUGCUUCUUUCCGCCAUCUCCAGAGAUUCCAUGGAUCCAGCUUUUCAAGGGUUCCUGGUUGGAUUGGCGAACUCCAUAGCAUCUAUGACCUGGUGCUUACUGUUCAGGAGGUUCUGGAGGAUGAUGUUGGGAUUCUUGCACAGCUGCCUUCCCUUAUCCACCUAAUCUUGCACAUCAGAGGAGCACCUAAAGGUAAGGUUCUCAUCCGCGGAGGAACUGGAUUAUUCCCAGUUUUGAAGUAUUUUGAAGCUCGCUGCUGCAGGGUAUCAUACCUGAGCUUCGAGGCAGGGGCAAUGCCCAAGCUUGAAAGGCUCGUGUUGUGCCUCAAUGCACAUAGAUGGGACAGGUACGGCGCCCCGCCUGCUGGCAUCGAGCACCUUUCAGGCCUCAAGGAAAUCUGUGUAGACAUUGGGGCUUUGGGUGCCAAGAAAUCCAACGGGAGUGCUGCAGAGUCCGCGCUGAGGAACGCGGCGGACAUGCACCCAGGUCGUCCUGUAGCCAACAUAAGGAUUAACAAUUUUCAAUGCUGGGCAUGUGAUACCAUGGAUGAUGAACCUUGCGAGAAGGACGAGGAAGGUUGGAACAGCAGCAGCACCUGAUCAAGGCCAGGUACAAAGUCUUAGCGUACCAUCACCUUUAUGCCAGCUGAUGUUUUUCAACCUUUCCUCGAACUAGCUAGCAGCAGUGGUAACUUUUUGUCUCAGCUAGCUGUGCCAUCAAUUAAAAGAUGUUUAUAGGAAGCCCUCUUUAUGUGUUCAUCAGUACCAAUUUCAAUUAAAAAUUUUAUUUAACUGGCGUUGCUUGUACUGCUGUCGUUAUGGCCAGGAUUUAGUCUGGGGACGAAACAGUAGUAUUUUGCGAGGCUUGCGCUCGUGCCUUAUCUCUGACAGACUGAACCUCAUCGCUCUUCCCUUGCUUACAUCAUGCUGAUAUAAAAUUGACUAGAUGAAACACGUAUAUAUACUACCUGAUGAUGAUAUAGAUAUAGAUAGAUAAGAACGUUACUAUAUGUUUACUGUUGUGUCCUUAUAUGAUAUAAAUAAAUAAAGAAAGGGAUCCAUAUGUGAUUUUUAUGAAACACUUUUCCUUAAUAAAAAGAUAGAAGUACAUGUAUGUCACAUAUAUGGCCACAGUGAUUACACGUUAGCAUUUCAGGUGCCACUCGCUUCCAGACCAAGUGCCACAGCAACGCCUGCCCCAUCGACAGCAACUAGGAGGAGUGGCCGGCUAGCUAAACAGGCUCUCAACAUUGCAAUCAGGCCAUCCAAAAAGGGUGAGGUUCUUGCUAUGAGAAAACUGGGCAUAAUUCCAGCUGACGGCGACAUCGAGCACGCAAGGAACUUCGAUAAAUUCAUUGCCACAACCAUGCAGCCGGCUCAUUUUGAAACUCUGCGUGAUGUUUUUCCAACCGCAAGAGAACUGACUGAUAAUGAUCUAUUGCACAUUGCUGGCCAAGCAGCCGGUGCCUGAUGACUGACGGCGGAAGCAUCAGUGCCUUGGGUUGCUGUCUAUUUUCAUGCACGAUACAAACCAGAAUGUCCUGGUUUGGAACGUGCGUGGGUUGAACGCAUGUUGCCGACGAGACGUUUUGCGUGAUGUCACGCGUGAGGCUAGAGCCACGGUCGUCUGUGUUCAAGAAACAAAACUUGCUGUAAUUUCUCCAUUUCUUGUGUCUGAAAUGCUUGGAAGUUCCUUCUCCUCUUACGCCUUCGCACCAUCAAUUGGAGCCAGCGGGGGGAUAUUGACGGCAUGCAAAGGGCCAGACCUAUCUUGCACCACACUUCACAUUGGGUGUUUUUCGGUCACUGUCACCAUCAGUACGACUGGCUCUUCCGACCACUGGUGUCUCACCAAUGUUUUUGAUGAAACAGGAGGGGGAUGAUCAUCCCCUACUGGAUAUAUAUUAAUAUAAAAGAACAAAAGUUGUAGAAUUACAAAUCAAGAAAUAAAAAAGGAUAGGAAGAAAAUCAGAAAGACUACAAUGAGUGCUCUAGCCAUUCAAACAUUGAUUGUUUCCAAACCUCUUUUACUCGCAGAACAACUUGAGUAAAAACAGUCCUAAACCUCAUCAUAGCAUCCUGCACUGAAGGAGUAAUAUUUCUGAAAAUCCAAUCAUUUCUCGCCAUCCAAAUACACCAGCUCAUGAGAACAAUGAUUUUCAUAAAAAAUGGAACUUGCAGCUGAUUUUUAAAGCUGGUGAGGAUUGUGAAUGGUUCAUCUGUCAGAUUAGCAAAAAGACUAAUAUUGAUCCAACACUCUUGGGUAAAGGGGCAUUGCAGUAGAAGAUGGAACAAGGUUUCCUCAUUAUCAUGCUGACACAAGACACAAGAAUAAGAAGGCAGAGCCAUGUGUUUUCUUCUAAGUACAUUCAUGGUACUUAGCCGGUCAUUGAGUAAAAGCCAGAAAAAAAAUUUGUGUUUACUUUGACAUUUAGAUUUCCAAAGCCAUCUGAAAACCGGGUGCACCUGUCGAUGUCCAGACAGUACAUGAUAUGCUUUUGAUGAGGAGAAGUGAGAAUUACCCCAGAUAUAUGUCCAACAGUCAUGAUCUUCAUUAAAUUGGAUUUCAUUCAGAUCUAUACCCAAUUGAAGCAGCUGAUCCAUAGCUUGGGUUGAUAAAGGCAAAUUGAAAAGCUGGUGCAAGUUAGGCAGGUCAUAAGCUUUCCUAAUAGAUAUGUCAGCCUUUCUAGUGAAAGAGUAUUAUUGAGGAUACUCUUGUGCAGGGAUCUUAUUAUUCCACAAAUCAUGCCAGAGAAGACAUGUCCGACCAUUAUGCACAGUUACAGAUGCUAGACCUUUGAAUUUUGUCCAAGAGUUUCACAACAUCUUUCCACCAAAAAGAUCCUUUUCGAACUUGUCCUGGUAACAUGCCAGAAGCAUAAUAUUUCUCCCAAAUUAGAUGUACCCAUGGGAUGUCUGCCUUGUUCAGGAACUUAUGGAGGUACUUAAGAAGAAGAGCUUCAUUUUGAGUCCUUAGAUUUAACACCCCAAGGCCACCCUCUUUCUUUGGCAAACAAACAAGAUCCCAGGCAGCCUUUGGAGGUUGCCUAUUAUUUAUAUCUGAGUUUCUCCGGAGGCAACAUUUUCUAUAUUUGUCCACUUAUUUAUAUACUGUCUUAUGAAGCUGAAAAGUGCACAUAUGAAACAUUGGUGUGGCUGUGAAAAUUGAAUUUGUCAACUGGAGUUGCCCUGCAUCUGAUAGAAAUUUUGAUGUGGAUACCAAUCGCCGCUCACAUCUAGUGACCAUAGGCAGAAACUCCUCAAUCUUUGGCUUGGUAAGACCAAGAGGAAGCCCUAAAUAGGUAAAGGGAAGCUUACCAAUAGCACAUCCAAAAGUCUGUGAUAGGAAUUGUAAUUUUUCCUCUGUGAUAUUAAUGGGUACCAUCAUUGAUUUACAGAAAUUGACCCUUAGACCAGUGGACAAUGCAAAAUUAUGAAGGAGCUGCUUCAAAUGUAACAAUUGAUUAGGACAUCCCUCCAUAAUUAUUAGGGUAUCAACAGCAUACUGUAAUAUAGGGAAAUCAGAACUGUAUGUCAGAGGAAUUGGGAGUGUGAGGUGGCCUUGUUCUUUGGAGUCAUUUACAACGGUUUGGUGGAGUCUCACCAAUGUUUAUGGCCCACAAGCUGAAGCUCACAAGAUCGAUUUCCUCGAUGAACUUAGAAUGGUGCAUACUAUGGUCACGCCAAUGUGGGUUAUUGCAGGGGACUUCAACCUGGUACUUGAGGCCGAAGACAGAAACACAGAAACAACAAACCGUAGAACAUUGGCAAGAUUCAGACGCCUCCUUGAUGACCUACAACUAAAAGAUGUUUACCUACACGGUCGGAGAUACACAUGGAGCAAUGAACGCUCUCAACCCACCAUGGCGAGGCUUGACCGAGUGAUCGUUUCAGUUGAGUGGGAAGCUAACUUCCCCUCCUCUUUCCUUCAAGCUCUCUCUUCGGACAUGUCUGAUCACUGUCCCUUGCACCUUGCAACACACUCAUUGUUCACCAACAAGCGCAGGUUCCAUUUUGAGUCUUGGUGGCUAAAAUUACCUGGGUACCUGGAGGCCGUGGCUAAAGGGUGGGUCUGCCCGUCAACCGUUACUGACCCUUUCACAAGGUUAGAUAUUAAAUUCAAAAACACUGCGAGAGAGCUGGACAGUUGGAGUCAGAAAUCGGUGGGGAAUGUUAGGAACCAAAUCCUCAUUGCCAGGGCUAUAAUUUCGUGGCUGGAUGCUGCACAGGAACACAGAGUACUAACCUCUCAAGAAAGUAAUUUGAGAAAAGAUCUCAAGCACAAGAUGCUGGGCCUCCUGUCAUUAGAGAGGACUAUUGCCAGAUUACCAUCGAGAAUAAUAUACCUUCGAGAUGGGGAUGCCAGUUCUAGGCUGUUCCAUAUGCAAUGCAGCCACAGAACGAGGAAAAGGUUCAUAGCAAAGUUGGAAUAUGAGGGAUCUGUUGCUUUCACCCAUGAAGAAAAAGAGGAGAUGCUCUUAUUUCAAACGCAUCAUGGGAACGGCCAUGCAGCGUAGCGAGGUGAUUGACCUGCAAUCCCUUGGCGUCCAGCAGCUUGAUCUGACACACUUAGAUGCCCCAUUCUCUGAGCAAGAAAUCUGGGCCACCAUCAAAAUGCUGCCCAAUGAAAAGUCUCCAGGCCCCGAUGGCUUUACUGCAGAAUUCUACAAAUCGGCUUGGUCAGUGAUCAAAGAAGACAUCCUGGCUGCUUUCGAUGCCUUCUACAGAGUAGCUUGUGGUCGACUGCACAAACUUAAUGGGGCACUCAUCGCUUUGUUACCCAAGGGACAGCAGCCAAAGUCACCAUCAGACUACAGGCCUAUUAGCUUGAUACAUAGUUUUGCUAAGCUUAUUGCUAAGCUUUUGGCCAACAGGCUAGCGCCUAAACUUGAACACUUAAUGGAUGUAAAUCAAAGCGCCUUCAUUAAGAAGAGAUCCAUCCAUGACAGUUUCAAGUUUGUAGAGCAAGCUGCUAGAUCAUUACACAAGAAGAAGAAAGCCUCUAUGCUGCUCAAGUUGGAUAUCUCAAAGGCAUUUGACACAGUUUGUUGGCCGUUCAUGCUGCAGGUCCUGCAAGCCCUGGGUUUUGGGGGAAAAUUUCAAGAUUGGGUAUCUAUACUGGUAUCAACAGCCACAACAAGGGUAUUAGUCAACGGAAUGCUAGGAGGUGUUAUUCGCAAUAUGAGGGGACUACGGCAGGGGGACCCCCUGUCCCCCAUGAUCUUCAUCCUUCUGAUGGAGAUGAUGCACCGUCUGUUCAAAAAAGCAGUCCAGCAAGGUGUUUUGGCUGCACCGGCCGAUCAUGGCAUACAGCACCAAUGUUCUUUAUAUGCAGAUGACAUGAUCCUUUUUGCUUCACCGACAAUUCAGGACAUGGUCACGGUUAGGGAAAUUUUACUCUUCUUUGGAAAUGCGUCUGGCCUGCACACCAAUUUUCAGAAAAGCUUGGUGGCGCCCAUAGCAUGCUCUCAACAGCAGAUUGAAGUAAUCACUGAAAUUUUGCCAACCAGGAUUUCUGAAUUUCCCAUUCAAUAUUUGGGGCUACCAUUGACAGUUGGCAGAUUAAGGAAGGCACACUUCCAACUGUUGAUCUUGAUCGACCGAGUAACGGCUAGUAUGCCCACAUGGAAGGCGCUAUUGAUGAACAAAGCCGGCCGAUUGACAACAGUUAGGGUGGUCAUGACUUUAAUACCUAUUCACACACUUAUUUCAUUGAAAAUGCCAGACUGGGUCCUAAAGGAGAUUGACAAAAAGCGCCACGGUUUCCUGUGGACUGGCAAAGAAAAAAGCCUUAGGUGCUCACUAUACGGUUGCCUGGCCGACAGUUUGUAGGCCUACUGACUAUGGCAGC
rnacentral:lncRNA from 1 species